UUUUCACAAAGGUAAAGUUUAUAUACUUUUAUUCAUAAUUCAUGAAAACAAAAUAGAGUUAUAAUUCAAUAAAAGGGCCAAUAUGAGAGAAGCGAAAUUGUAAUUCCAUUUUCAAGCUUGAGAAGCAAUAUACCUAUCAAUUCUAAUAUUAAAAUCAAAAUUCUAUGGUGUAUUCAUUUGUCUCUACUCAUCUGCCUCUGCAGCUUUCCAUCCAUAUAGUGCCAUAUGCCAAAUUCUGAAAAAAAAUACCCCUUACCUUACCCUUGUAUCUACUCUAACUUCAAGCAAACUCGUCUCAUAUGUCAAGGAAGAGAAAAAUUAGAAAAUUACCAUUCUAGAUGGAUAACAUAUAUAUAUAUGUAAAUAAUAGAAAUACUUACUAUAUAUCUCUCUAUGUAUAUUGUAUUGCAAAUGUCAAGAAAAUGAUUACCAUUCUUACCACCUGCUGAUAUAGGGUCAAAUGCUAUGCACAACAUCUCAAAUGGCAUCUUGACCGUUAUAAUACAAACUAUAGGCUGCAUGUUUGCCCUCCACUCCAACUCCACUUAAGGUUAGUUCAGCUCUACCUUUAUCUUGUUUCCUUUCAAAUCUUUAAUUUUUGAAAAAAAUAUAUUGGAAUACCCCAUCCUAUUUUUUCUUUCCCGUUUUAUUUCAUACCAGGCACGUGAGCCGCAUGUGCCAGGUAAUAGCAGUAAUGGCAGCAAAUGAAGUGAUGAACCACCCCGGAAAAAAGGCCAAGGCGACCAUCUUACCGGCGGUGACAAAUCUAAAUUCUCCUGAACUCGUGUCCCUCACGUGACCUUAUCACCCUUUUUCCCCAAACCCCUUAUACCGCAUUCAGUUCCCUUUUAUUUCUCCGCCCAAACCCUCGCGGAGUCCCCAUCUCCGAACGCCUCCAAGACCCUUCCUCUAGGGUUUGGGAUUGGAUUCCGUAGUCCUACUCUCCGAAUUCCUCCACCGAGUUUGAGGGAAGUGGGUUCAGACCGGUCUGUUCCAUUUUCAGGUAAGAUCUCGUGGGCUAAAACCCUACGCUCCUUUCCUACUCACCCAAUUUUACGGCGAUUUCAUAUAAAAUGAUCUGUUUUUUAUUCGAAAGUUGACAAACUCAAUGGAUGGAUUUAGGUUUUUUCAACGUUGAACGCCUUAUAAUCGUCCAUCAUGGGUCUAAAGUUUUUAAAUGGGAUGUUGUGGUGAUCUUUUUGCUAGAAAUAUUCUAAUUUUUAUAAAAAGUUCAUGAUUCUUGGUAGGUUUAGGGUUUCCUUGCAUCUAAUAAUAUCAAGUCCUGUUCAGGAUUAUCCAAAUUUCGUUUGAAGAUCUUGCUGAUGGGCGAUCUUUCUAUUUCUUUUUCUUUUUGGGAUCGUUCUUUAAUGAAUGAAUAGCACUUUUUUCUUUUCUUUACUUUGGCCUUUUCUGGGAACUCGCCGAAUUGGUAAUCUGUCCCUUUCUUUGAAGCUCUGUGUUUAUAGGAAUUCAGCUGUAUGGCAUCCCAAUUAUCUCGUGAGUGGUUUGGGAUCCAGCAGUUCCCGGCUGCCACACAGAGCAAAUUGCACGAAUUGCUGGGAAAGCUGAAGCAAGAGGUCUGUGUUCUUCUUCGCGAGAUCUUGCCGCAAUGCAAUAUCUAUGGCCUUCUCAAUCUUUGCUUCUUAUCCUUUUUUGGGGGCUUAUUUAUUUUAAUGUAUUUAUUCUUCUCAUGGUUACUUUAAGAAUGUGAGCACGUUGACAAUUCUGGUGAUGGGCAAGGGUGGUGUUGGAAAGUCGUCCACGGUGAACUCCAUAUUGGGGGAGAGGGUGGCUGCUGUCAGCGCUUUCCAAGUUUGUCUUCUAAAUACUGAGUAGUCAAUUUUGGGUAUUGAUUCUCUGGUAUAAUUCCUUAAUAUGUUAUCGCUGUUGCAGUCAGAAGGAUUGCGACCAAUGAUGUGCUCACGCACGCGAGCAGGAUUCACUUUGAAUAUCAUUGACACUCCUGGGCUUGUGGAAGGUGGAUAUGUCAAUGAACAGGCUCUUGAAAUCAUAAAACGGUUUGUAUCAGAGCAGAGUUAUUAGUUGGAGAUUCAUCCUAGAGGCUAAAUUUUUGUAGUCUAUCAAUAUUUUAUCUGUAAAAUGGGAAAUAAAGGCCAGAUGUAGGGAUGUAUACUAUAAGUUAACCAAGUUAUUAUGUGAUCACAGUAAGCAUUAUGUGGGUUGAGUAGGGCUUUUGCAAAUUUAAGCCCAUGAGAUUGGACUGUGCCUGCCCAUCUUUCCAAAAAAACCGUUUAUGAUGAUGCUAGCUCCUAAAGACUUUUUUUGGCAGGGUGAAAUUUUAAAAUGUUGGCCAUCUUUAGCCUGUUUCCCAAGAAUUUAGAUCUUCUCCAGUUCAUGUUUUUAUCUGGUCCUUCAAGUUAAAUGGCCCGCUGCUUAUUCAGGUCUGUCCUGAUCAACUACUGGUGAUGGAACAGAUCAAGCUCGUGAUUUGUUUUGUCAGCCAACAUUAAUUGUUGCUGACAAUGUACUGGAAAUACUGGGCAGAAACAUGAAUAGGAGAAAAUACUACCUCCUUAAUUUCUGAGGGGAAAAAAGUGGAGGACUUUAGCAACUAGUUUAUUUACUCCCUCUUCCUAAAGUGGUCUCUGAUUUUCUUAUUGUAUUUUGUUCCAUGCGAUGAAUAAGAUUCUUCCUCUGAUUUGCUUUUAACGCUAUGCUUAUGCUGCUUGUUUGCUUCAUAUGGUUUUAUAUAGUUUGAAGUAAUAUGGACUCUGUUAAUAUGCCAGGUUUCUCUUGAACAAGACUAUCGAUGUUCUUCUGUAUGUGGACCGAUUAGAUGCAUAUAGGGUGGAUAGUUUGGAUAGACAGGUUAUUAAAGCCAUAACAGAUACAUUCGGUAAAAGAAUAUGGCGGAGGGCUUUGGUUGUUUUAACUCAUGCUCAGCUGUCACCACCAGAUGGACUGAAUUAUGAUGAUUUCUUUGCUAAACGAUCAGAAACACUUUUAAAAUACAUUCGCUUAGGUGCACGUAUUAAGAAACAAGAGUUUGAGGUAUGAAGCUCUUCAUCUUGGAUGUCCAUUACAGUCAACUUUAACCUAUGUAUUUUUUCAGUUUUGUCUGAUGUUGUCUUCUGCUGUAAGUCUGCAACAUGUUAUUUAGUUACACUGUGCGGCUUUUCUCUCAUAAAUGGAAAUAUUUACAGUUUUGCAUAUGAUUUAAAUGUACCCUUGCAGUUAAGGUAUUUAUUAAUCUUACCAUCUAGUUUUGCUAGAGAAAGAUUUUAUUCCAUUUUCUGUUAAUUCAUACUUAUUAUAUUAUAUAGCACAAGCAUAUGCUUUUUUACUGUGGAUGUAUUCUGUAAAUUGCAUUGAUAAAUGAAAUUGUAGUUUAGUUGACACACAAUGACCUUCUACUGUUUAAAUUUUGACCAUAACUAUAAAGAUUUGUUUGCUUAGAUAUUUCUGUUAAGGGCAUGGUUCGGCUCGGUUCCGCCUGUUCCGAGCUAUACCGGUGGCUCACCGGUACGGCUCUGGCAUUGAAAAUAGCUCGCUGCCGGAGUCGGAAAAGGAAAAGAGAAAGAGAGCGAGGAGGGGAGGGAGGGAGAACGAGUGGCAGCGGACGUUGCGGCCGCGGCUAAAAAUUUUGAAAUUUUUUAAGUGAAGUUGGCAAAUCGCUUGCCGACUUCACCGACUUCACUUAGAAAUUUCCAAAUGAAAAAAUUUUGAAAUUUUUAAGUACUAAACUUUGCAAUAAUCACAUCUUCAUCCACAACUUUGCAUGCAGUACUAAACUUUUCACUAAAUACAGGUUUAUCUAUUAAUAAUGCAAAGAGAUAAGGGCUGGAAAUUGAUUUUUUCAGCAAAUUUAGUCCGAAAGCUUGUCAGCGUCCCAAGAGACACGUCCUCAGUUAUUUCUAUUUGCCAUUAUGAAUAAUUGCUUCUCCAAUGAACGCCAAUUGACCUCUUUUAGCACUCAUGAUAAUCAGAAACCUUUGACAAGUUUGUAAAAAAAAACAUACAUAAUUUUCUCCUCUCUAAGUCUUUUCAUCGAUUGCCUAAGCAAGAAUUUGGUCUUCACUAUCGACCUUCCAGAAUUUUCCUUUUUUUUUGCUAGGAAAAUCUAUCUAUAUUUAUGCUAUGAGAUUUUUGCCUUUUUGUACAAUUUUUGUUCUAGCAUCUUGGCACUUAACUUUAUUGAUGGGAGCAAUAAUUUACAUAAAUUUGCUCUUAUUAAUGGGUACCACAUUACUUAAUCAUCUGGCAUACUACUGUUUUUUCAAUUCUUAUGAAUUGACUAGCAAAUCAUUUUAUAUCUCAUUUGAUCCUCAUGCCAUAGCUCUUACAUCCUUCUCCGUGUAGUCUCAAAGCCAUUUUUUUGAAACUGAAUGAAGAAGAAGCUAACAACUCCCAUAUAAUACCUCGUCUAAAGUAAUUUAGCAAUUGUGGAUAUGAUGCAUCCUUUUUAGUUUCCAUCCAUCAUUCACCAACAUUCUAUUAUCUCCACUUUUAGUGAAUCUAAGUUAUUAUUAUACCUAGUUCCAGUGUCUAUGGGCUAAUUAUUUUAUAUUUCCUUUAUUGUUUUAGCUCAACUUAUCAUAUAAGAUACGAUAAUCUGCACAAUGACUUUUAUUUUUUGAAUCUUUCAACCUCUAUAUGCUCUUUAAAGCCUUUUUCUUAAUUGAACUUUGCUAUUAUGUAAAGUAGGUCCUCUUUUUUUGUUUACCUCUUCUUUCUUACCAUUCCACCACAUUUUUUUUUAUAUAUGUCAUUACCUUUUCUCUGUAAUUUACCUCUCAAACCUUCUAAAGCAACUUACCUGAUACAAUGUCAUUUGGUUUCACAGACAUCUUGAUUCAAUUAUCUUUAUUCUUUUAUCUGCAAAAGCUGCUAGUUUUUUUUUUUUUAACUCCAUCACCAGUAUUUUGUGUUUUAAUUUUCCUUCUUAUUGGAUACAUGUAGAAUUAUUAGCCUAUGUUGUGGUCGGACCUAUCUUAGUGAUCUUUGUGAUUAAUUACUCUUCUCCAUUAGAAAAUUAAUCUGAGACACCUUCCGAACUAAUAAAAUUAACUAUAUAUUCAUCAAACAUUUUUUAGAAAGACAUCUUUGUUAUUGCUAGCUCAUUGGCUAUUGCAAAUGUAAGACAUCCCCCAUUAUAUUCCUAUCACCAAACUCUUCACCAAUACUGUUAUUUUACUGCUUAUUAAAAUAGGAUUCCACAUACUCCCAUACUUUGGUGGCUUGUUAGAAGCUUUGCAAAUAGGGUUUUUUGUUUUUUUCCUUAAUGUUGCUUUUAAGUGGAUGAUCAAAGUUCGAUUCCCUCAACUGCCCCAUGAGAGAUGGGUAGCAUGCUGUGGUGGAUUAAUCCCAUCAUUAAACAUAUAGCAUCUUUUGAGAUCAACAAGAAACUAUUGACAGAGGAAUAGAUAAAUCGUAAAACAUCCUAAUUUCUUUAAAGUUUUGAAGAAAUAUGACAUAUAGUUUAUACUUUGCUCCUUGACCAGUUUGUUAUGUGAGCAUCAUCAUGCCCUACUCUUCAUUUAGAUUUUUAUUUCCUAGGGAUAGAGAAGUACAUUUAUUCCUAUCCUUUACCUUUUAGAAACUCUUACUGGUUGAUCCUUGUAACUAAAUCCUAGAACUUAAUUUAGUGGAGGUGAUUGAUAUGCUUACUAACUUGGAGAUAAUGUUUGAUCAUUUUAUGUAACAAAUCAAACACAAAACAUGCUCCUGUUUACUGGAACAAUAGACCUGAAAUAUGUCACACUGCCCUAGCAAUCUCUUAAGAGGAUGGCACAAGAAUACUCAAAGGCAAGUAGGAUAAACAACAUAUUGUUGUCCUAUCAAACACUAUACGACAACAUUCCUAUUCAGGUAGCUUUGUGCACCUUGUUGUAGGUAGAGGUAUGCUAGCACAUGGAAAUCUAUCAUGGUACCCAUGUAGUUUGCACAGAGGAAAAAAAUAACAAAAAAGGGAAUAAAACAAAAGAUGAACAAGGACUUUAAAUAUAGCUGACACCCCUAGUUCUGUUACGAUCAGAAAACUGAUGAAAAAUGAAGGUUGUUUACAGGAUAGAGGAAGGAUAAGCUUUGAAAUUGCUUCAGGGCCAUGUAGAGACUCUAUGUCUAAAUCCAAAAUGCUUCAAAGGUUUACUGAUUCGAAAAAUGGCGAUGAAGAUGAGAAUUUAGAAAAGGAAGAGAAUAAGAGAUUAUUGGAGAGAAGAAGAGAGAAUGAGGAGGAGGAGGAGGAAGGGAAGGAAGUGCACCGAGUGAUUUACAACCAUAGAGAGUUUCUUAUUAAGUAUUGUUAGGCUAGUUGCUCUGGGGUGCUUAAAAGAUCCACAUAACUUUAGAGAGGUGUGGUGAUGAUGAUGCUUAUUUAAUAGAUAUUGUGGUAUAACAGCUCCAAAACAUGUAACCAAGACGCUUUUGAAGGGAUGUCAGUGAUCAUGAUGUUUUUUUCGCAGAUAUGGGGGGUACUAUCAUUGUUUCAAGUGUUUGCUGGUGCUGGGUGGCACAUAUCAUGCCAGGUCAAGUUGGUGCAGCACAUGUCAGCAUGGCACCCAUUAUUUUGAUAUGGGAAAGCACAUGUCACAUAAGCUGGUGGUACUUAAAUCAUUGGUUAUAACAGCUCUAAAGCAUGCAAUUGAGUCUGAAAUCAUAGUUAAUAAUAAUGGUAAAACCCAUGGCAACUGAGAAGGCUGAAAAUCAUGAUUGUUAAAUGAACAUCAACAAUGCUUAUGAAUAUUUGUCAAUUAAUCCUUAACCACGAGGCCUUUGAUAUUACAUCUCAUUUUUUCUUCUUUCUGCAUUUGCCUUAUAAGCACCUUCUUCUAGUCUUAAUUAUCCUCUGUACUGGCCAACUUGGUGAAGAGAGAUUAUAUUUCUUCCUGUCAUCACAAAAAAAAUAUGUUUCUUUUGUUUUUGAAAACUAUGUUUAAUAACAGCUUCCUCAUAAUCUGUACACUCCAACUCUUCCUCGUCACAUCAGCACACCUUUUGAUUAUUGUUCUUCUUUACCAUAUGAAAGCCAUGCUUUUGAAUCAGGAAAAUAUUUGAACCCGAGGUUCCAUCCUUGCAUCAACAUUUCAUUUCUUUCUACCAUUUAGUCUUUGCACUCUUUUAACUGUUGCAGUUUAGAGUAAAACCCGAUUUUGAGAUGACCAUCAAGACAAUGUUGGCUGACUUAUGUCCAUCAAAUCAAGGAUUAAUUAGGUAGUCUCCUGCACCUUUUAUUUGUCUCAUACUGGACUUGUAGUGAAAUUCCAGUCCUUUUCUUUGAUGGGGUUAUAUCGAUUCAUAUAGAAGAUAACAUGCUUAUGUGGUAACGAAAGAGAUGAAUGAUGGACAAUGUGAAUUCUAUGAAGGCAAUGCAGUGUUGCAAGUGAUCUGACGUGUAACAUUAUUUGUAGAUGUAAAACCAUUGCACUGCUUGCUGUUGUUGCAAAAAUACGGAAUUUUCUUUGAACAAUGGUAACAGUAUCUGGACUGUUGCAGGGCCUAAAGCAACCUAAUAAUACUUUCAGCCUGAUAAAUGCCCUGUUACCUGAUUGGUAGCUUUACAGGGAAGAUAAUUGAUGUUCUGAGGUUAUUAGAUAUGAUCAUUGGGCUGGGUCAGAUUUGGUUGUUGGAGUUCAAUUCAGGUUUCUUUGAGAAACAUUUGAGACUGAACAACCUGAUCCAGUCCUGUCAGAUGGGUAUGCCCGACCCUCCCAUUGGGAUCCCCAACAUAGUGUGAUACAAAGUUAAGAUGUCAGGGACAUACUAUCAUGCACUACCAUUGUGCAUGCCUGCGUCCAUAUGCAUGUGUAUGUAGAUAUCAUUUAGCUGGCAGCAGGGGACUCUUCAAACUUAACCUUGAAGCAUUUAUUUACUUGUACCCAAAAAAGUGUUUUUUUCAAAAAAGAUGACUAUCGGGAUUUGGAGUUUAACUUUGUAAUUGUAUCUUGAAUUGGUUUCCUUUGGGCUGUGUGUGUGUGUGUGUGUGUGUGUGUACCCUUUCAACAACAUUGAAUCCAGUCAAUGACGUUUCAGUAUAUGGUUGCUUGCUCCAGACAUACUAUCUGAUUACAUCAUUACUGAACUUCCUAAUUGUCCUGUAAGUGUAGCAUGAAUAACACUAUAUUGACAGUUGGUGAUAACCUGCUCCAGUAGGUCAAGGGUGUGAAAACUGUUACUAAAUCUCCUGUCUGAGCCCUGAACUGUUAAGGAAUAGUAAAUGCCACCAAUUGUUGAUGGAAUCAUCAUUCAGCCAAUUUCGUUAGUCUUCUUUCAAUUUUUAUAACUACCUUUUGCAUCAGUAAGAUGGCAAUCUAGAAUUUUAUGCUUAUCAAGUCUGAACAUCUGCUUGACCUCUCAAGUUUGAUUCCUCCAUUCAUGUAUAAACCACAUCAAUCCAUCGGUCUCAUAUAUCUGUACUAAGAAAAGCCUUUUAUUCAGUCCGUUUAUACAUUGAGGUUAGCUCAAACAGAUAUUGGUUGGGUGGCAUUGAUUUUGAAGGAUCAUGAAUUUUUGCUAUUAGGAUCGUACAUCCUCGAACAGUAGUGGCAGUUCAAGUAUUUGAAUUUGUUGAUGUCUUCUUCUUGAAUUAUGAGCUGUAAUAUAGCUUCUAAAAGAUUUCAUGAUAAACUAGUUCAUGGUACAAGGUGGGGCUUGAUUAUACAGUGUCUUUUGUUUAAGUUAGGAAUCUGUUGUUCCUGUGGUCUUGGUCGAGAACAGUGGGAGAUGCAAAACUAAUGAUAAUGGGGAGAAGGUGCGUCCUAUUCCUCCUUCCCUCUUCUCGUCUUCCUUUUAAAUUUCUUUCAAAUUUGUCUUGGUUGUUUAAAGUAAUGUAUUUUGUAAAAUCGCAGAUUCUUCCUGAUGGUACUGCAUGGAUUCCGAACUUGGUUGAAGUAAUAACAGUUGUUAUCUCAAAUGGGAGCAAACCUAUUACUGUUGAUCAGAAGUUGAUUGAUGGCCCCAACCCUAAUGAGAGGGGAAAGUUGUUCAUACCUCUUAUCCUAGCUUUCCAGGUCCGCUUCCAUGUUGCAUUAAACCAUUGAAAUUUGGGACAUAGUAUUUCUCCUACAGAAAUGAGCUCGUAUUUUAUUUUUACUGAUUUCUGCCUAUAUUUCAGUAUUUUUUCGUGGUGAAACGGAUCCAGAAAGCCAUAAAGCAGGACAUAGCAAAAGAAAGCAAGCCUCUUUGGGAGCUGCGCGACAUGGGCUUGGCAAACCGGAAAUUCUAGAGGUUUAAAGUUUUUUUUCUCUUUACCUUUUUUGGGGGGGCUUAGCAUGACAGCUCUCUUUUUUCUGCUGCUGUUUUGUGACUUUUGAUGUACCAUUAACUGGCUUUAUAGGAGUAGCUAAGUUGGGCGGCAGAUUAAGAUUUUAUUGUUGAGGAUGAUUCUAAUUCCAAUGUUAUUCAGUGUCAUGGUUAGUUUUUUGAUUGCUGUAGCCUUCAACUUCGAAGCAGCUAAAUGUGAUAUUCGGUCGUUUGCAUUCUUUUCUUUUUCUAGAUUGUCUUUCUUUUUGGAAGAAAUGAGAGAGAAUAAAUUGCCAGAUUUUUUUUUAUUAUAAAUGAAACAAAAGUAUUACUUUCAUUACAUGGAGACUGAUAGAGGGGAAGCUCAACCAAAGCAUUUAAGGGUGAAAGUGGAUCGGAUAAUAUUCGUUUGAAUUUAUUUUCGUGUGUAAAUUUAUUCGAAUAUGAAUAGCAAUUUGAGUAUUAGAUUAAUAUUUAUAUUUAUAUUUAUUAAAAAAAUAGAUAUGCAUGUGAUUAGAUAAUUAUCUGAUUUAUUGAAUAUUUAUUUUCAUUUGUAAUCUUAUUUAAUUUUUGAUAUAUAACUCAGAAUUUUUUUUAAAAUAUAAAUAAUUACAUUAACAUUGUUAUUAACUUAAUUUAUUAUCUACUUAAUAAUAUAUUUAAUUAUUUAAUUUAUAUUAUAUCUAUAUUUAUAUUUUUAAUAUUCGAUUGGUAUCUGUAUUCGUUUAAAAUAAAUAUGAAUAUGAAUUUUUGCGUUCGACUAAUCUUCCUAUUUAUAUUUGUUAAACAAAAUAAAUAUGGAUAUGGAUAUGCCAUUAUUCGAUUCAUAUUCAAUUUGGUUUUAGCUCUGUAAGUAUUUGGAGGUUUGGAGCAUGGAUUCUCAAAUCUCAAUAUGGGUAUCUUAAAAUAACAAUAGGAACGUUUCUGUGCUUCUAUUUUUUAACAAUAGAAAUUCGUAUUCCUAUCUUAUCGGCCAUUUAUUUAGUUUUAGCACUGAUGAUUGUCAGAAGUCGAUUCAUUUUAGUGACCGUUCGGCUUGGUGUAAGUGGGCUCCGAAGUUACUUUGGAUCGUUUCUUUCUGAAUUGGGUUAGACGUUCUUAUAACGGAAAGUCCAUUUAGUUUAAUAAAAUGCUUGAAGUAGACUUCCCUUGGUCUGAGUUGGGUUUAGUUGUUCAGUUAUGGACAACUAAACAGUUUAUAAGCUAUAAACUCAAUUAGGCCAAUCGCUUUGUCGGGCAUUUACCCUCAACAUUCCUUUCCUUGCCUUCUAUGUGAAGCCAGGGAGAUAUGAUAAAAGAGCGCAUGGAGCUGUCAACACAAUCAUACUAAUGUAGCCUCCCUAAUUAAGAAAGCACUAUUUUUUUUUUUUUGAAAAAAAAGUUGAGAAAGAACUGUAGAAAAAUUUCGUUUGUUUUUAGCUGUUAGCACCGGUUGGGAUGUAUGCUUUGGUGUUAGUUUCCGAAUGGUUGUGUUGAACAUCGUGCAAGGAUGGUAGGGACUGAUGCAACGAGAAAGCAAUCCUCUGAAAGUCUCUGUUGGGCUGCAGGUUUGAAGGGAGAAAGAAAAUGCUCUCUGGACCACGUUUUGGGAGCCAAUUCCUGUAGGUGUGCUCGUCGUAGUACACCAAUCGGCCCUCCAAAUUGUCACAAAGAAUGCCGGUCCCAUCAUGAAUUUCUCGAAGCCAGUCCGGUCAUGAUUCGAGACUUCUCCGAGCUUAUUCGACGGUUGAGCUCACGGCAUGGUUUGCAUGCAUGGAGGACUAUUGCUUCCGUCUAUACUACAGAGUCGCAUAUGUUCAUCUGCCAUGGCCUGUGAAAAGCCAAAAGGCCUUAACAAAACUUAUAAAGGAAUAUUUCUUAACAUGGAUUAGUAAAAGCAAUUUACUAAAUAACAAACACAUAAGAGAAGGUUAGAUAAUGCAGAGGCUGGUAAAAAGAUUUUGACAUAUGAACUAUUCCAUGUUGCAAAUAAAUAUCACUAAUUGAUAACUAUAUAUCACUAGUGAAUUUUGUUUGUGGUGAUAUCCUUGUCGGGGUCUUUUUCAUCAGAAGCACCAAGUACUCUAUGCGUCUCUCGAGAAGCUGCCUGCAGCCUUUUAUAUAUCAUGCGUAAUUUACUAGCCUUAUCAGGGUGAUUUGCCAAAAAAAGUCACUUAAUCCGCAGCUCCAUUUGUCUCCUUAUAGACAUAUAUUGCCUUGAAGGUAAUGCCAUCACUAGCUAUGCCUUAGAUGUCCUAAAGUAGGGAGUGGUGUCCCCUAGCGUCCCUAGGACACUCCCGGAUCCAACUGAUCAUUGUAACGGAGACACCUUCAAGCAGGAUAGCAUUGGCCCGCAGCACACGCCAAGUAUGACAAAGACCAGCCCAAGCUGCCCUCAACUCCGCCCCCGGGACCGAGAUGUCGAAGAUCGGGCUCCCUUCGGCUGCCACCACUCUAGAGUUCAGAUCUCUGAUCAAGAAACUAGACAUGCAUCGGUGAUCUCCGAGCUAUCAAAGACUCUUCAGAUAGACAUGCAUCGGUGAUCUCCGCAGCCUGCACACGGGCCCUUUUCAAGAUGAGCCUUGGCGUAGAAUUGCUCUCUCUGAAUAUCUAGAAGUUCAUUGCCAACCAAAUAUGAUAAGCAGCGUAUGUGGCCUUGAUGGCCUCAAGCCGUGUCUGAAGCAUAGUCGACCACCUCCUGAGUGCUUGAGUAAAAGAGCCAGACUGGCACAGAGACUCUGGCGGGAUAUCAAAAAGUUUCCACACCCACACAACUCGAUCACACUGGAAUAGAAUGUGAUUUACAGACUUCUCCACCUCCAACCCGGGAUAGGUUGGGGGAAUGCUCAACCCGGGCUUGCUCAAGACGGCCCUAGUCGGGAGAUGUCUUCGAUUUACUUUCCAUAUAAGUGAAAUCCUUAGGUUUCGACGAUCAAAUGGAUUUUUAUAUUUUCUUGAAUACAUUCUCAUGGGAAGACAUUGCUUGCUUAGUGAAAUAAAUUAGAGAAGGUCAAAAACCCUCGUCUAGAUAUUCAAUGAGCAGAGCAAGGAAGAUAUAGUGAAAAGCUUCUAAGGUUGCUUUGCUAAUCUCUCCUUUGUGAGAACACACAUACACACAUCCCUCAAUAAGAUGUAUGUAUGCAGUUCGGGGGAGGGGAAACCCUCCCCUGAUCCUUGGCAUGCAUGCAUGCAUUCAUUUACUUACAUGUCUUUACUUCAUUGCAAGUUAUCAUAUAGUAAGAAAAUUAAGCAAAAAUAUUUUUUUUGAUUAUUUACUCAAAUAAUAAUUCUUUUUGACUAUUUAUGGGGAUUGUCCACCCAUCCUCCUCUCUUCUUUUUCACAUGUAACCAACGUCGAUUAUGUAUCUAUUUUAUCCAUUUUACCACUAGAAUAAAACUUUAAAAUACUUUUGCCGAUGAAGAUCUAAUUUGUUUGGCUGCAGAAUUUAAGCAGUUGCUUUCCACGUGAGUACAUCAACAUUCAUGUAGCAUAAAAAUUCUCUUGCGUCACUGCUGCUAACAGGCACGCUGAACUUUAGUUUGGAUAGCACGAAACCUUGCCACUUUAGAUAAGAUGUGGGGGGUACAAUUCUGCAGGGUGUCGACCCUCAUUUCGAAUCUAAUUAUACUGGACUCUGGUUCUAUAAGUGGCUUGGUUUGCUCGAAGAUCUGUACUCCAACUCGGGUAAGGUCAGCUGGAUAUAAGGAAGAGCGUUAGGGUUGCAUCUUUAGUGUAUCAAAGUAUUCCGAACCACUUCAAUUGUCUAUCUGCAAAGAUCUCAAAGUGACCAUUAUGCGAUCCGAGGAUGGAUUCGCAUGAGGAAAGAGGAUGAGGAGUCCGUUCCGGUCUUUGUGUUUAUAUGAAAAAAGCUAUCUCAAAUAGGCAUUGGGCUCAAACAUGUGGACUGGGCGGCUUUCUUUUUUUUUUUUUGUUAUUAGUGGCUGCUCACACUGAUCUUGCAUGGGUGCAGCCAACAACAACAAAAAGUUGGCAAAGAGAAGAAGAAGUGACACAUGACUCUCCCAAAAGACUCCUCUCGAGUGUUGAGCAGCAAACGAGACGACUCAGUUAACUGCCCUGUUCGCCUUUCGAUAGACAUGAGCAGCCCGAGCCACAAUCUCUCACUAGCCUGCGUAUAUCAUGAAGUAACGGUUGUUCGUCCCCAUUCUUGUGCUGGUCUCGAAUCCAUUCGAUCACUGUGGCAAAGUCUCCUUCAAAGUAGAUGCUAUUAGCACCCAGAACAUGCCUCGCAUAAGUGAUGUCCUCCCAUGUAGUUCUCAGCUCUAACUCGAUGACAGUUGCGUCGUCCUCUAGCUGCGACAAGUCUGGAGUCAUGACCUCUGAUNNNNNNNNNNNNNNNNNNNNNNNNNNNNNNNNNNNNNNNNNNNNNNNNNNNNNNNNNNNNNNNNNNNNNNNNNNNNNNNNNNNNNNNNNNNNNNNNNNNNNNNNNNNNNNNNNNNNNNNNNNNNNNNNNNNNNNNNNNNNNNNNNNNNNNNNNNNNNNNNNNNNNNNNNNNNNNNNNNNNNNNNNNNNNNNNNNNNNNNNNNNNNNNNNNNNNNNNNNNNNNNNNNNNNNNNNNNNNNNNNNNNNNNNNNNNNNNNNNNNNNNNNNNNNNNNNNNNNNNNNNNNNNNNNNNNNNNNNNNNNGGUCAGUAGAUAACCCCAUGCGGCUAUGCCACCUUUCCGAUGAACACGGCCACACGUGGAUGGACGCGCAUCCUCCAAAUCUAGCCUCCAUCGAUCUGUUGAGACGUCCCCCACUGAUCAUAGCUUAAAGGACAUGAGCACAUACCUUCGACCUCUCUGUCAUACUCUAGACCAAUCUGUCUGCAGUCUCCUGAGUAGGAAUAGAUAGUGAUAGGACUCUUUCAACCAGCUACUCCCCAAAGGGUCGCCGCAUAAAAUUCUCAUUCCAACUUCUCUCCUCUAGAAUGAUCAGAUUGCAGACUCUACAUCCGGCCAGCCUCAUAGGGUCAGCCAUGGUCGGCAGCCGACUGAUCGGUUGCUCGAUCAGCCAACUGUCCUCCAACAUUAAUAGUCUGCCCAUUACUAAUAGCCCAUCUGAUUGAAGGGAUCACCAUCAAGGCGCAGGCAUAGAUCUCUCUCCAAAUAAAAAAACUGUAACGUCCGGUGUGAAAGUCGGUCACCGCAGCAUGAGUCCUAUACUUGGCCCUCAUCAGAGUGCACCAAAGGUUGUCAAGUUUCAGAAUGUACCUGACCGCAUGUCUAGCCGCAAAGAUCUCAUGCCUCAUCGUUAUAGAGUGAACAAUCAACCUGCCAUUACUGACCGGCUGGCAAACCACCUCCCAUGCCAUCCGGUAAAUGCCACCUCUUCUCUCUCGCCUACCUCAAAUGAAGCUUUUGAAUAUCUACUUCAGGAUUCUCAAGGGCACUAACGACAUGAUGGUGUUGGACUACAAAUAUAUCGGUAUCGAGCUGAGUACUGACCGCACCAGAGUGAUUGUCCAUCAUAGAUAGAGCACUUGAUUGCCAACCCUCAAGUCUGUGCUUGAUGCUCUGCUUGAUAGUGGAACAAUUUCGAGGCGAUGAUAAACUUUAGAUAUUUUAGAGCGCCCUCCUGCUCACCCACUCUCAGGAUGCCCUUGAUAGAGGUUUUCAGUGGCUUAAUCCUUAGAUUGGAGUAGAUGACCGACUUGGCGAGGUUGAUUCACUGUAUAGAGACUGCACCGUGCUUCUUUAAGAUUUUUUCGAUUACCUACACUGAUUGCCUUAUCGCUCGAGCCAAAAUUAUGCGGUGAUGGACAAACAGAAAAUGCAUGAUUUGAAUAAAAGAGGAAAAAAAAAGCAAGUAGUCAGUCCAUCGCCACCGAGGACUCGUAGAACUGCGUCCUGAGUGCAGUUCCAUACGGCCAUCCCCGAUUACGCCUCGCUCUCUCGUGUCCGCUCUCUCCUCUCCCGUCUCGAAAUAGGGCGAGGGUUAGGGUUUUUCUCGAACCGGAUCGUCCCCCAAACCCUCAUUCCCAUACGAUCCCUUGUUCUUCCGGAGAUUAAGAAUGGAGGUUGAGAAGGGCGGCGGCGGCGGGAGCUCGCUGGUCCCAGUCGUGCCGCCGUUCUUGAGCAAGUGCUACGAGAUGGUGGAGGAUCCACAGACAAACGGGACGGUGUCCUGGAGCGAGACCAACAACAGCUUCGUUAUCUGGGACCCCGCAACCUUCUGCCGGGAUCUCCUCCCCAAGUACUUCAAACAUAGCAACCUCUCUAGCUUCGUCCGCCAGCUUAACACCUAUGUGAGACCCUCCCCUUCCCUCUCCUCAUAGUUGCGAUCGGUUUCUCCUUUCAACUUUUCCUUUCCUGGAUCUUUAUGAGUUGGAUUUGUAUAAUUGGGUGAUGAGGUGGAUUCUGAUGUUUUCGCGGAUUUAUGUUCGUUAGAAGGCGUUGCCAGUGAUGAUUCUGUUGAUACCGUGCACAAUCGAGGUUGGUUGAAUGCUGUGCAGAGUGGUUUCUUGCUCGAUUAGGGAUUUGUUAGAUGGGAACAUGAUUGAUGCUUUUGUUUUCAAAAAUCUAACGUUGAAGGUAUUGCCAUGAAAUAAAAAGCAAAAAUCCAAUCAUGUUGAUUUGGCUACCGUUCUGUUUAUAUGCAUGAGCAUGUGCACAUGGGCAGAAUCCUCAAAGUUGAAGGUUAGUUGAAUUGCAGAGCGAGGAUCUUGCGAGAAGGGUCAAUCAGUGUGGAUUUUGCAAGAAGGGUCAUGUCUGAUGCUUUAUUUAUUAAAAGAAUUUAGGAUUUAUAGAUUGAGGUGUUGAUAUCUUUGACAACUAUUAAAUACCAAUAAUCCCAUCAGUUGAUUUAACUGUUGGCUUUGUGAAUCUUGAUUAACUUGUAUCCAAGUUUUAGAGAUCUGCUAUCUUGACAUUUUAAAAAUCCUUUUAGAAAUAUCCACAUAUUAUUUAGGUCUUUCCCUCUUCUCCUGAAAGCUAAGGUAGCCUUCUAAACUCAUUUUCCUGACGUAAGGAAUUAUAUCUGCAAGAUCAUGGAACUUCAUAUUUUGUUGCAUAGGGAAGUUCUAAUCACAUAAUGACUAGUGUAAACUUGGAGAUAUCUUAAUUUCAUUGUAUUUUAAAGAUUCAAGAUGGAAAAAAGAUGCUGGUAUUUUGUGUUAAGUGGGAAUGAGUAGAUUACCAAGUCCUUGGUAUUAGAUCAUUAUCAGUGUAAUGGUCUAUUUCUGAUGCUGUUUGAGACUUAAGACCUUACUUGUUGGUAGUCUGAUAUUAUUUUGUGAUAAAGGAUGGAUUUGAUAUUAAGACGUUAUGACAAGACUAUUUGAUCUCCUUCAAGCUCAUUUGAUGAUCGAGAUACUCUUAUAACAUGCAUACUCAACCUGUUUUUUGGGUCAUCAUGGAUGAGCAAGUGACAACUUAUGAAACAUAUCAUCUAAUUAUGAACUCCCAUAACAGAUGUGGAGCUGUCUCCAAGAGCCCUCAUAAGAAUGAAUAUUGCAUGAAAUGGCUGAUUAAGGUUUCAUUUCUUCUCAGAUUUGUGCAUAUAUAGUAUGUACCUCACCAGAAAGGGUUGUUCAGAUAGUGUCCUGUAUCUAGCUGCAUACUCUCUCUGAUACGUUGGUCCAGGGGCCUGUAUGUAGGCUGAAGUCCAUUAAGGGGCCGAAGGCCCUAUUAUUAUUGUUAUUUUAUUUUCUAGCGAUAGUUUAGUGUUAAUCGGUAGCCUUUUUAUGUGCUUACAUACUAACAGCAAUAGAGAGACAAUAUAGAUAUUUAAAUAAUACUGCAAGAAAUUGUAAUGGCAAUAAUUGUACUAUGACUAUGGUCACUAGCUCUGACGUUUCCUUUAGCCUAAGUGUUGGUAUUUACAAUCUUCAUGGGCAUACGGACUAGUGUUGUUUUCUAGAAAUUACUGAGUACUGAUUCCGUCCACAAAUCUGGAUGAGAAGAUAUGGAUGGUUUGUGUUGGGCAACAUCUAGCUGUAAAAGCCUGGUCACAUUGAAAUGAACAUUGAUUAAAUUUUAUUGAACAUUAACAUGUUAGUUGCGGCAACAUGCAACCUGUUACAGGAAUGAACAAUGAUGUGAUAAAGGUUACCAGAAAAUGAUAGCAAGAAGGAUUUUUGUCACCUCUUAAUAAGUAUUCAUUAUUUGAUGAUUGGAGUUUUUCUCUUUUGGGGUGUAUGGAUUGUUGAUAGUAAGUGAGCUGUGAAAGGAGAGAAAUUGAAUAGGAAAGGCAUAAAGAUGAGGAUGGAGGAUGAGCUAAAUAGUUUGGCCGCUUGAUCUAUCCAUUGGAUGUGCAAGUUGAUGAUGCACUUAGGGUCUAAUGAUGUGGAUCACAUAUUCAACAAAAGAGUUGAAAAAAUAUAAGAGAUGAAGCCAGAAAAAGGUUGAUCCUCAAGAAGUUGCUUACUACUGUUUUUCUGUUGGUUUGUCAUCAUUAUUAUUCAAAGAAAUAACAAUUUGAACAAAUUUAACUAUGUGGUUCAUGUGGAAAGAUCGAAAUCCAUUCUUAGUGUAUCUUUUUCAUUGCAAAAGCAAAAUUCAGCCUGAAGAAAUUUAGCUAUAUGAUUCAUGGAAAGAACAAUAUCCAAUCUCAGUCAGUCAUGUACUCUGUUAAACUUAAAUUGAUAUAAGAAACUGUGUGCAAAUGUUGUAAACCACCAUGUUCAAUGUGAAUUGUGUGGACUGAUAUCUCUCAAUUAGUGUUUCAUGGGAAGUCAUUUUCAUAACCAAUCACUUAUCUAGUUAAAUUUGAGUUGCAGCUUUUUUUGGUUCAGUUACAGUGGGUUAUGAGCUCACAAUCAGUAUAUGGAUGUCUAUGUUAUUUUUAGUCAGUUUGUUUGGUUGGAAGGGCUUUUAUUAACUCAUUGUCCUUUCUUGUAGUAUAAAUGGUCACCCUUGUGUUAACAGGGUUUUCGAAAGGUCGAUCCUGAUAGAUAUGAGUUUGCAAAUGAGGGAUUCCUGAGGGGACAAAAGGAUUUGCUGAAGACCAUUACAAGGAAGAAGCCUUCCCAUAAUGCUGUUCAGCAGCAUCAGUCUCAAGGGAGAAAUACAUCUGUAAAGGCAUGCGUCGAGGUCGGAAAAUUUGGGCCAAAGGAGGAAAUUGAAAUGCUUAAGAGGGAUAAGAAUGUCCUCAUGCAGGAGCUGGUAAAACUCAGGCAGCAUCAGCAAAACACUGACCAUGAAGUUCGCAUUCUGAGACAACGAAUACAAGGAAUGGAACAGCAUCAGCAACAGAUGAUGUCAUUUUUGGCCAUGGCAGUUAAGAGUCCUGGAUUUGUAGCACAACUAAUGCAGCAGACUGGGAAUAAUAGGUGGACCGAGGCAAAUAAGAAAAGAAGGCUUCCUGCCUUGGAACAGGGUGCUGUAGGAAGUUUCCAGACUUCAUCUGAUGGGCAGAUUAUCAGAUACCAGCCUUUUAUGCCUGAAACAUUGAGGCCAUCUAUGUCAUCAAUGCCGAAUUCUGUUGUGUCACCUAAUUUUCAGCCCAUGUCUAAUGGAGUCAACGAUUUGUCCACAGAUGUGGAUGUCAUGUCACUUGAGGCUAACUCCUCUUUGCCUCCAGGAGGGGAUAUUCCUCUGACAGAAUAUAUUGAACAACUUUUGGCUAGCCCGAUUUCAGAGAAUCAUGGGCAGAUGGAGCCUGAGUCCUUGGAGGUUCCAGAUUUUAUGUUGGAUUUUGUUUUACCAGAGCAGGAAAUUCAGAUGGAAACAUCAAAAAACAUGGUUCUUCCAAGUGAACAGAUGGGAGGGAAUCAUCAAGCGUCUGAGAAAGAUGACAGACACACGUAAGUUGGGUUAGCCUCUAUGGGUCAGGAGUUUAGAACAUCUCCCUUCGUUAAUGUAUACAUAUGUUAAUGUGUGUUCCAAAUAAGUGCAUUACAUGUCCCUUCGUUUUGUUUGCUAAUGAUAAGUCUGCGACUUUGUUUUUUUUAAUAAUCUUUCUAUUUAUUUUUUUUAAAGCUUUUACCAAAGAAUUAAAUCUCAGACCGAAUUUUUUCUGCCCUAAUGACUGAAAUUUCUUUGGCUUUUCAGCAUUUCUGAAUAUGGAAACUAGGUGAUUGGACAAUAUAUUAUAGAGGGAUGGACUGCGCUCAUUUGCUGGCUGAUAAACGUCAUGGUUACCAUGAAAUACUGGUGUAAGGCCAAUUAAGCAAAGCUUUUGACAUGCAUACUAAUUGGAUGGGAUUGGACUUUUUGUUUUUCUUUUUUUGAUGAUCUGGCUUUGACAUACAUACUUAUGAUGGUAAUAUUUAUCAGAGGAUUUUUUUUCCCUUAAAAAGUUUUUAUAUCAUUGCAUGCCCUGGGAGGUCAAUGUGUGUGUAGUAAUCAAGAGCAUACACAUUUUAACCAGUCUUAGGCUUAUCAAGAUUAUAUGCUACAAUAGUACCACUACUAGACUAAUGUAGUUCUAGAAAUCCAGUCCUAAAAAAUCUAGAAUUUUGCUGUAGAUGCACUAAGUCAUUGUCUAGUAUUAUCAAUUUUUUUCCAGUUCUAAAUGUUAUUUGCUGAAACACAGAGAAAAUAAAAUUUCUUAUCAGUAAUUUUGGUGUAUUUAGACAAUAGUAUCAAUAGAUUGUUCUUAUGGGCAGGUUUCAUAAAGCCAACCUCAAACAGGGGGGAUACACCUAUUAAUUAUGGAUUUGGUUAUAUUGUUAGGGGACAUGAUUGUUAAAAGCCAUACCCUGACUUUUUACAUUUUCUUGCCGGUAAUUCUAGGAUUAGGUGGAGUUUGUUUUGUGGCAUCUUUGACCUUUAUUUGGACCUUCCAAGAAUUUUUUAUGUUAUAAUAUGCAUAUGACUUUGCCAAUACAUACAAAUGGGAUGUGGGAUGAAGACAGAGGCUGUUUAGGCGAUAAGAUUGUGGAACUGUUAGAGGGGUACUGUAUAUGGUCAAGGUACAAGUUUUUAAAGGAAAUUUCAAAGUCCAAAAUGCACGAAGUAUGAUGUCUAAAGGGAUGUUUGCUGACGAAUGUGACAAGAUUCCAGCUUGGUCCCUGUUUAGCAUCCUUGUCAUUUCUUGUUUUCUGUUUUUGAAAAUGGAAAGAAAAACAACAUAUGAGGCAUGAAACAUGUUCAAUAAAGACAUUUUUGUUUUUUUUUUCCCAAAACAUUCCUGUUGAAAUAAAUGAAAUCUCUAAACUUUUGGAAGCAAAAUUUCUCUGCUUCCAAAAUUGAAAACAAAAACAAUAGAAUAGGUUACUCCCCGAACCUCCAACUCUACCACCUACGUUGCCAGAACCCCUUCCUUGUCACCACCACUUGCUGCCACCGCAAAUUGGAUCCCUCCAUGCUUUGUUGUCAUUGCUGCUGCUGCCACCAUCACCAUCACCACCAUGACAACCUUCACUACUACUGCUAUACUGCCACCAUUAUGGCCACUACUCACUGCCACAUCCCUCCAACUUGACAAAUGCCCUCCCCAUCUUUCACUACCACCACCGCUACGACCCCCAUUGCCUCCACCAAUGUCAUCAUCACCACUCGUGUAAUGAGUGAAAGCAAAUCUAGUUACCAUACAUAUUUCUAUUUCAAAAUAUUGGAAAAAAAACAAGAGCAAACAGAGGCCCAAAGAAGCAUAUGCACUAUAAUGUAACCUUAAUCAGAACCAACAUGCUUUAUCAUGCUAAUGUGUUUUAUUUUGUUAUAGUUGCCAUUCCAUUCAUUCUAAUCUAUUUCUAUCUCCUUGAUCUCAUUUCUUUUAAAAAAAUUCACUAUCGAUUAUUUUCCUGGAUGUUGAUUUUUUGUUUUAAACUCUUAAACUGAAAAUUUUGAAUUACUCGUCAAGGCAAUUUGCAUCUAUGAUAAUCUGCACCUAUAUGUUAGUCUUAUGAUUGGGUGAAAAUACAAUCUACAUUUUAAUGCAUUCUAGUAAGAGAGAAAUUUACUGAUAUGGACUUGAUUGGAUCUGUUAAAUGUAAGGUUAGUAAUGUUUUUGUGAGGCUUUGCAAAAUUGGAGAAAGUUGGAGAAGUCUUUGAGAGUUGGUAAGAGAAUUUAGUAAAAAGGGGUUAACUCAAGAAGGAAAAAUUCUGUCCCAUUAUUAUGUUGCAAGUUAUGAGGAUAAUGCAAUAAAAAAAAGAAAGUUGAGAAAAGAAAAUAUAAUAUUGUAAAAUGGAUGAUGCUGGUGUAUCUUAAAUUGAAGGGGAAAGGGAUAGAAAGAAUCAGGUUUUACAUUCAAGAAGAGUUGGAUAUGAGAUUUUAUGAUAUUGUUAUGCAAGACAAAAAUAUCAUAUAAAUAUUUGGGGGUUUUGGGUUGCAUUAGGUUAUUUUGAAGGUAAGCCUACACUAGACGUGGCCUUAGGAGUUGGAAAUUCAUUCACAGGCCUUCCCAUUAACCUAGUCUAUUGGGUGUCUCAUACCCAGUUUGGUUUUGGGGAUAUAUGGUUCUGGAAGCAUGGAUGAAAGAAAUGAACAAGAAAAAUAAAUUUAGGCAUAUGAUGUAUGCAGGAUUUUCUUUUUUUACAGUUAUUGCUUCCAACGACUUUAGUUUUAGAAUUUGGGUCUGCAUGUCUUUGCAUCAGUACUGAGCAGUUAUGCGUGACACUUUGAGGGGCUGUUGGGUUGUAUGUUAUUCUUUUUUUUUGGGGGGGGUAAACCAGUCGCUCAUGUUGUAUGUUAAUUUUAAAACAGGUAAUAAUGAAACUUAGUUCUCUGCAAAAGCAGGUCUUAUGAAAAAUAAGGGAAGGCCUAUUUCUCAUAAAAUUAAUUUCAGGUUUAUGACCUAACACUUUUGACCAACAGGCUUUUAUGGUUUAUGGUAAACAUCCAUACAAGUGUUUUUGUAAAACUCAUUCAUUUAAGAUUUUGUGUAAACCUGUUUUAGGAAAACUCAUCAACCAAAUGACCCCUAAGGAAGUGUCUUUGUGAUUCUUGUGGGUCCUGUCGGGUGCCUUGGAGAUCGAUAACAAACAUCUGUGCUGCGGAUAUAUAAUGGAGCCAGUGAAUUCAAUCUCCAUUCAAGUCUCCCUUACCCUUACCAAAGACAUAUUUUCUGUGAUGGAAUUAACAACAAAAACAAUCAUAACCUAUUAUAUUUCUUGUUUACAAAUAGUUGGUGAUCAAACAGCUUACUGGUUUUUCCUUAUUUUCUAAAAACAGGAAACUGGCAAUGCAACCAAAUGCACCCCUAAUUAAUUAAUGUGGAAGAUUUAAUGUCACUCUCUCUUUAGGUUUUAAAUAAAACCUAUCCUGAAUCUGAUGUAGUUCUAACAGCUGAUUUGCGAACAUAGAGUGCUAGUUAUCUUCAAUCCAAGUUAUAAGCCUUUUGGAUGGUGAAAGUGUUCCAUCCUCUGUGUAUUUUUGCAACUGAUUGACAUAUCUGGCCCACUUUUUUUAUGUAUUGCAUGUGAUUAUUAUAGAAAAGAAAAGUCAUCUUAUGGGUUCUAGCAAGUGUUGCUAUAGAAGUUGUGGUUUCUAUAGGCUAGGCUAUUGUUCUUGUUGCAAAAGUUUGAUGGAGUACAGGUCAAGAUUAAUUAAAAGAUAUAACAGAUGAGGACAAAUUUAUUUAGGGCUAUGAAGGGUGUUGGUUCCCACGUGUUUGCAUUUAAAAUUGCUAUUUAUGAAGGUUUAUAUAUUUGGUUGUGUAAGGGAAUUAACUGUGGAAGAGCUAUCAGGUGUUGGAGUUUUCUAGUGAUUUAUUUGUUUGGAAAGUAUUUUGGUUUAUUAACCAAUUGUUUUUGCCUCUUCAGACAGCUAGAAGAGUGAUUUACUUAUUUUUCUCUUGUUUGCUGUAAUUUCUAUUUCUCCCUUUAUGUUUGAAGAGGAAUGGUAAUAUAAUUACUGCAUUUCUAUAGUUCUUUUUAGAAAGUUUAAAAAGUUUUUGUGUUCAAAUUGGACAGAUUACGAUAGGACAUAUUUUGAUUUUUUUUGUUUGAGAGAUAUUAGGUUCCCCUCCCUUCAGGAGUUGUAGUUAUCAAAUUUCGAGUCCAGAAGUCAGUUGAACUGUUGCUAAAAGAGAAGCAGGGAUGAGAAGGAUAUAGAUCAAGACUGCCACCUUAUUAACCCCGUGGACAUUUCGAGCCCUUAGGAUGUUUUUGUUUCAUCUAACUGGCCUACCUAAACUGGUCCUUUUUCCAAUAUUUUGUCCUGGUUACAUUCACAACUGAGCUUCUAAAUGCAGCAUAAAUGUUGCAAUUUAACCUGUGGUUGACAUACAGUGAAAACCAUUGUAAUUCAAGUUAUAGUUGCUGAGGAUAGUUGGUGGCAUUCAUUAUGUUUACAAAUGAGUGUAGUUAGUUGCUAUAUUGCCACCUUUAUUGUGUCUUCAGUUAAUACCUUCAGUUGCUAGGUGCCAAGUGGAACAUAAUCAUCAUCUCCUCUCUCUUUGCAAACAGCUCCCAAGUUCUCUCUCAAGUUUAAAAGAGCAUCUGACUUAACUUAUUAAGAACUGCCUUUUUAUUUUACACAACAUUGGUAUCCAUUUUCUUCACUUUGGAAUAUCAGCUUUGGGAAAUAUUUUUAAGAAGAUUGAGUUUGAAAUUAGUGUUUAUAGUCCGCAGGAAGUGUACUGUUUGCUAUGGAAGUGUGCAGCUUUCAUAGCCAUAUUUCAUGGACCAAUGGACCCUACUAGUAUUUUGCUCUUCUCGUUUCCUUCACUGUGAAUCAACUUUUUUUUUUUAAUCCAUUUCUUAAUUUCUCUUUCUUGUUUCAGCCAUUUUUGUCCUACAAUGUUGACAUCUAUAUUUUUCUUAACCUAGCUGGAACUUUUAUUUGCCCAAUGUAGAAAACUACUUAUCAAGAUUUUUCACCUUGUGACAAUUUCAUUUCUUAAACAUGGUCCUCAAGCCUUCUUCCUUAUACAUCGGAUCAGCUUUCUUGAGCAAAUUGGGAAUCCAUCAAGUUCUAGGAUCUUUCUAUCAAAUUGGUGCCAGAAUUCUGGCCAAGACAAGAAUGGAAAAAACUAAUCUUGCCAUAAGAGCUAGAAGGAAUAUCCGGCUGUCUGUGGAUUUUAGUUUAUUGGUUAUAGUUGUAUGAUUUAAGCUUGUUCAAACAGAACAAACCAUUAUAGACUUUAGUAAUCAAGGCAUGUUAGGUAGAAACCUUAUUGACUUUUUCCCUCUAAAAAACUUGAAAUUUUCGGACAUUUGAAUGGUCAUCAAUGAGCUCUUAUUGUGAUGAUGUUUCUUUUUCUGCCACAAUUUCUCGUAUAUGUAAAAGUUUUUUUGUUUUGGUAUCUCUCUCUCUCUCUCUCUCUCGAAGCAUGAUAGAAAGAGAGAGAGGAUUUUGUUUCUUAUGUGAAUACCAAUUCACAAUGGCUAUUUUUUGGCCUUAUGACCAAAUCAUAAAUGGUAUUUUCUUCUAUAUGGUUGAAUUUCAUCAACAAGUUUAUAUCUCAUUAUAUAAUUGAUCCAGGAGGAUUUUUAGAUUUGAUGUGAACUACUUUGGCUACUACGAGCAGGGAUGGACAAGGUUCAAGAGUGAGAUCAGCCACAUCGGAAAGCCAAAUCGCUGGCCAACUUUCAGAGGGCAUAACUUGGUAAUACGUCAUCUGAUUAAGAUAUUUUUUUUAAAAAAAAGAUUGGAUAGUUUUUCGAAAUCUACGAUAUGACGGCACACCCUUUAGAGAGCGACACCUCUAGCACCAAGCCCACAUUUCAUCGUUUGGUGUCUGAAACGGGCCGGUCAAAUCGAAAGUUUUAUUUUCGGAUAAGACUUUGAUUAAGCGUAGCCUCUAUCCAAGAAGAAUCAGGCAGAGCAAUAGAAGACAAUUGAUGUAGAAGUCGAGAUCUUCUUUUUGUAGAAUUUUAUUUUUGUAAAAUUAUUUCUGUUAAUCAUAUUUAUUUUUGAAGAUCUAGUCCUAUUCGAACUAGGAGAGGAAUCCAACCCAAAUUGUGAAAGGGAUGAUCUUACUAAUAUUAUAAAUAGGGGUUAUGUAUCUCAGUUUAGGAGGUGCGGAUGAUCAAUGAAAGAAAAAAGGACUUAAGCCCUACUUUCGCAAUUCUUCUAUCUUCUUUUAGUUUUCUUUUGAGGAUUCAAGUUGAGCGGGUUAAGAAAAAUCUUCCUUCUCUCAUAUUAGAUCUAUAAUAAGCCUUUAUGGAUUUUGUGCAAUAAAAAGCCAUGUUAAUUAAUGAGAUUGAAAGAACAUUCAGGAAUUGUUAUUAAUUGAUGACUUCACUUGUGCCUAUCUGGAGGCUGUAGUAAGUUUCUACUUUCAAAGACUAAAAGCUUCAUUUCAAAUUGCUCUUCAGAAGGAAAAUUUUGAAGUUUUUUUUGAAAUCCAAGGCAUGCUGUUCAUAUUUGUUUAAUCAUAAAAUGAAGUAAAUGGCAUUAUUCACAUCAUGUGUAUCGUAUUUUUUUAUUUUUUUUCAUAUAUGCUAACUUUGCAUUAAAUUUGUCGUGGCAUCCAUUAGCAUCUACCAUUACAUGCAAUGUAUUGUUGCGAUCCCCCAUUAUAGUAAGUACAGAGAGUGAAGUACUCAAUAUUCUGAAUGCGUAAAUGUAGAAGGAAUUGUAUCAAUUGAUGAGAUUAUUGUAUUAUGUGUUAAAGCUAAUGUCCUACAGUGCCAAAUGUGUGGUGGUCACUGGUUUAUAUGAUAUAAUAUGGUGUUUUGAACUAGUCAUAUUAUACUAGGCAUAUAAAAUAGGGACAAAAUAUAGUGCUCUGAGUUGUGAUGAUCGUAUUUAAGAUGUGGUAUCCAUCUUUGUGUUGCUAGUUUAUCAGACUGUGGUCAUGUCGGUCAUGUCUCGCACUGUAUCAAGGGCACAUUCAUAUCAUGCUUUAGCAUUGUGUUGCAUACUGUCUCAUGUGCUCUUCAUAUUGCCCAUUUUAGAUUGUUCGAUAUGCUACUUACGCCUUGAAUAUGCUAUUUUUGUGCAAUAUUAAUUAUAGCGCUGUGUUUUAAUCAUUUCUGCAAUGCAAUAAUCAUAUAGCAGUGUCAUUUUUUGCUGUUCAAAAAGUUUCAUUUCAAAGUGAUAAUGCUUAAGAUUAUAGAUUCUUUUCAUUAAAGCAAGCUCCCUGCUUGUCUUGGGAAAAAUAAAGGUGCAUGCUUUUAUACCAUUGGACCUGGCAGAGUGAAAAUUUCUUAAGCAUCAAAUCAGUGCUUAACAUCCAAUAAAUGUUCCAUGAAAGUUGAAUUUGUUAAGUAUCAUUUUGUUGGGUGCUGGAAGGUGUCAAAUUAGUGCCUGACACAGUCAAUUUUUAUUUGAAACCGAAUUACAAAUCAAACACCUGACAUGCACUGAUUUCCCAUUGAAGGCGAAAUUUGGUGUGUGUUGAUCAUACGAGGUUGACAUGCCAUCAUCGUUGAUUGUUUGAGGUGCCAAUUGGACUUUGGUACAUAAAAAUGAAAUUACUGCUGGAGUUCACUGAUUUUUGCAUGAUCAAAAUAAGUUCAAUUUACCUUUUUACUAAUUGGCGUUGGUUCCCUUUUUCGGGAAGGGCAAUUAUAGUUUUGAAUUUCAGUUCCUCCCUUAAUGGUUGAAUUGUUUUAUUGCUUAAUGGAUCAAAUAAUAUCAUCUUAUCUACUGUCAACAUUUUACUUGUAGCCAAUUUAUGAUGGAACAACUUUCAUAUUUAAGCAGAAAGUCAUUAGUCAUAUAUUCCAUAAAAUGCUCUAUAUAUUCUUCUGUUGUUGGUGAAAUUUGACCAUAAAAUAAUAAAAAUCGUUUCAUGGUUCAGAUUUCCAUUUGAAGCGAAGCCUUGCAACACUGCCAAUGCCGGUCCCAAAAGCCCAGAUGAGAAAGGUGGUGGGUUGAUGUUGUGCUGAUAGAACAUUGUAAAAAAACAAAGGUUUUCAGCUGAAGGUAAUCCAUGAUGAGCUUGAUGAAUGCCAAGUCUUUCGACAAGCUACUCAAGGAGCCUUUAGUUGACAGACUGCUGUAUCGCAUGCAACUCGUUGUUGGUAAAAAAAAGUGAGUUGAAGGAAACAGCAUGAACAAUCAUCGAAGGACUUGUCGAACUAAAAAUAGGGGUCUGGGGAACUUAACCAGCUACUUAAAGUUACUCCUGACCCCCCCUGGAUAUAACUUUAAUUGCGGUUAGGUAGUUAAAAUGCUUUGGUUGGCUAAAGUCAACCAUGCAAAAAAUCCAUGAGACCGUCUCGAUAAAUAAGUGGAUGAUCAAUUCUUAACCAGGAUAAUUUUAUCCCGGAACCAGAUACACUGCCUGAGGUAGGCUCCUCUUUGUUGUAUAGCUCAAAUUGCUGGCUUAAGUUCGAGAGAAAGAAUGAGUAAGAAGGUCGCAUUCCCACUAUGUUUAUAGAAACAAAAAGAAAAAGUUGGAUGACAGCCUGCCUGUGAUGUAGAUAAUAGAUCAGAAUUCCUCCCUCUUCAUUUAGGCCAGGCUGCCAGCUGCAGGUUAGAUGAGCUAGGUUACAAAAUAAGAUUAAAUGGCAUGAAGUUGCCAGCCUAACAUCUUGUGAAAGCUCAAGUCGGCAUACAAAACCUAGAUAAGAACGAGACAUAAGAAGCAUGGCUCGUCUGAAGCAAACUUGCAUGGUUCUAGAUGACCACUUCCGGGAUGGGCUUCGGUGCCAGUAGCGGAGGCCAGCUCAUGGUAGGAGAAAGAAAUAAAAGCAGAAGCAGACCACCUCACUCCUACCAACCAGCUUUUCAUUCUUCUGAAAAGUUGCUUUCCUCACUGAUCGAAUACGCGGUAAGAUAACAGCUAGAUCUCUGCAGGAAAGGACGUAAUAUAUAGCAUCAACAUGGAUGGGACCCGAUUGCUUCACCAAUCCUGCCAUUUUUGUUUCAGAGAUCUCUGGGGAGCCAAGGCGCAUCAGCUGGCUGCCAGCAUUUCGAAGGCAUAGCGGUGUGUAACCUGUUCAUUGAGAGGACCGAGUGGCUGGCGGGCAUUAUUCAGAACUGGGAUCGUCAGGUUGCCAUCAUAUGGUGCACGUAUAUAAGUACGUUCCAACUGCUAGGUAGUGUUGUGGUUUGAGGUGGUCUUACGUACUCCAAAACAAUUGUUUAACAUAGGAAGAUCGUAUUAUCUUUCAAAGAGAUAUAAUUAUGUUUUCAAAAAUAGAACCACCUUUAUUUAACACAAAUGUGAGCAUUCGUGCCGAUGCGUGUUUAGGCCCACAUCGCCGAAAAGAUUUUGGAUUGAUACAAAUGGUAUCAGAGCUGCAACACGGGUUUAUUGAGGCUGACCAUGUACUGAUCGUGGUGUUUGUGAUUAGAUUUGAAUGUAUUUUGAACCUUUGCCUGAACAGGACGUCAGAGCUUAGACAGAAAGAGUAUGUGAAGACUCAUGCGGAUAUGUGUUUAGUUCCACAUCAAUUAUUCAUCGAAGAGAUUUUAGAUACUGAUACAGGAUGAAGGAACCAAAAAAAUAUAUUCCGACUAGCCAUUUUGGAUGAGAUCCUGAGUUGUUAAAAUAGAAGUUAAGAUAAACUCAUUAGCUAGACCGAAAGUGGCUAAGGUUGCAAGACUCUCAUGGUUGGCACCCCGUCUGUUCAUGUUUAUCUUCGAACCCCGAGCUCUAAUGCUCGUAAUUUUGCAUGGUAAGAACUAUGUCCUUAAGCACAGAUGCUGAGACGCAAGGGAUCAGAUUUGCAAGACAUGGGUGUUGGUCAGAAUAUUUUCAGCACAGGUGAGGCGUACUACUGUGCUUUUGGCGUGGUUUGUCCGGUGGUGGCCAAUUUGGUUCCGUCUACAUGGCCUAAAAUGUUUUCUCUCGCCUAAAGCUGACCCUCAUCCAAUUAAUGGAGCCUUCAGUCUAUACCCAGUUAAAAACGUGAUUUCAAAUUAAAAUGCUGCAGCGCCAAAAACCGAUUCAAUUGAGUAAUUUUUCCUGACUUUACGUCAAAUUAUUCCAAGCAAAAUUCAGCUGCAUACACAUGUAAAUUUAGCUAUAGUUAUAUCGCAAUUGAAUAAGACUAACAUCUAAUGACCCAAAACAAAACUCUUGGAGGAACCUUUAUUGCUUUUAGAUCUGUUGACUUCUAAAAUUUUUAGUAAAUUCUUAUGAUACGAAAAAAAAAAAGAUACUACAGUUCCGUCAUGUAAAUUAUUGUAAAUUAUAGAUAUUGAUGGCAUGGAAGAGGACAAAUGGGCUAAGAUGGCAGCAAACCUAACUUGAGCAGAUGGCAUUGUGAAGAAGAUGCAGGAGUCAUCAAUAUUAUUAUCAUAAUCCAAAUUAAAUACAAUGAAUAUGCAAACUCCCCCCUAAUGUCAAUGCUAGUUGGCAUCCAAAUCCCCAUCAAGAGAUUAAUUUAGAUCUCUAACAAGAUAGCAGCAGAGUUAAGAGGAUAAAGGGCGUCAUUUUCAUGCUACCCAAGCGGAAGCGUGUCUUCCUCAUCCAUCCUCGACGAAACCAAGAGAGAGAGAAUGCGAGCAAACAACAAAGAGACCAUCCGGAUUGACUCCAUCAACACUGGACUCCACUCCAUCCAUACUUCCAAAUUACUACAGAGCAAAGGUGAAUAUUGGAUAGAAUUAACCAGUGCGACAAUACUUCUUUACGCGUGCUAACUAUAUCUUGCUUAUAAGAUUGUUAGAAUCAUUGAAGGCCUUGUGUCAAACAUAGUCGGCCUCCAUAAAAAAAGAAUAAGAAAAGAAAAUUAUAUUUCUAUCCUUUUGUUACAAUACCUUUAUAUAAACUAAAAAAAGGCCGAUAAAGCUAACUAAGUUUGGGAGGAUCAACUUUUUAAUAUCUUACCGUAUAGAAAUAUAUUAAUCGCAAUCCAGAAGACAUGCGCGUCUGGUGUAGUGGUAUCAUAGUACCCUCCCACGGUACUGACCGGGGUUCGAUUCCCCGGAUGCGCAACCAUGCGUAUAUUUUUUCCCCCUCAAUUUUACUUUUUCUUGUGAAUCACUGGCCUCAGCAGCGAGCAAAGCAGACGGCAGGUCUUAAUAUAGGCUGGCCCACCACCGAUGCACUUGGAUUCCACUAGAUCACAACCAACCAUACGAGAUAAUGAGAACCAAAAAAUACUUUUAGCGGUGAUCUUAUCACCAGCCGCCAGGUGCCGACAAUCCAAUCCAUUUCCUCGAGUUUUAAUUCAUGUGUCGCUUAAUAUUUGUCGUUUUGGAGGAAUGGUAUUAUCGAGCGUGAGGGUUGGGUUGCGCCAUCAGCCACAUCAAAUGGACGGCCGGCCGGCCAGCCAGCCGCAGCUUCCGAGAACCCUCGCUCUGAUGGCUUGAGUCGAGUCGUAUCGGGACGGCUCCGCCACCUUAAAAAUUUCUUCCACAAAAUUAUCGGAAUUCCAUCGCAUGCUCUUCCGAGCUUCCCCCACCCCAAUUAGUCCAGUGACUGUGGAACACGCAACAUCAGGGUUUUCGAUCUAGCUGUCAUCCGUGACGCUACGUCUUUUAGUUACCGCAUAGCUUUGAUGACCGCUACGUGUACGUCAUGACCAUCGUCAUUGCAUCGUUCAUCGAUUCAAAGAAUAGGUAUACAUGUGUAUGAUGAUGAUAGCCAGUAGCAGCAGCUACCAUAAAGUAAGUAACCAAAGGGUAGGAAAAUAGGAUUUGUGAAUUUCUUGUAGUCGAUUGAGGAUCCAUUUUAAAUUUGUGAUGCUAUAAUAUACUGACUAAUAAUGGUUUCAUUUAGAUCAUACCUAAAACAAGGAGAAUGAAUGGUCACUUGCUGCUGGUCAAUUCAAAAGAAAAGAAUUAGAUGUAUAAGUCAAGUCAUCUUAGAGUAGAUGGAUGACCUUCUGAAGAAGAGUAGAAUAAUAAGAAGGAACAGCUGCCAUGAAAAGCCUUAUCUUCCAUUAAUUGUCAAUUGAGGGUGUUGUGGUUCAAAUCUUGGCCCGAGGAUGACUACGCCGGAGGAGUCGAGGAAGCUGCCGAAGUGUGGAAGGAAAGGAUGGAAACCACUUCCUGUACGGCGGUGUACCUGCACAAAGCCUCACCGGUGUUUCCGGUGAGGGCCCUCUGACGAUCAAGUUAAGGUGGUAAUCAAUUGAUCCAGCCAAAAGUUCCUUAGGUAUUACCUGACGGGGCUAUUUGUAGUCCCUCUGGAGAGGCGCAGGUGGCGGAGGUAUUGUUCUUCCUCAUCAUAAGAGGGGACGGCUCUCAGCCGGAUGGCGCGCAGUUAGAGCUUGCUAUUGGCGCGCGGUGCUAUUCGUUCUUGGGAACGGUAAGGUGUUGACAGUCGUAGCAAGGUAUGGCCGGAGUAGCACGGUGCUGUCCUUGACUGUCAUGGGCCAGCAAGCAAAACAUGGCGUGGCAACGUCGCUAUGUACGGCCAUGUAGGAGGGCGUGGGCAUACAUAUGGGUGCGGUCGUUGGCAGAGCCGAGCUCGUUGAGAGGUCGCAUCAUACAUUUGGUGAGAACGGCUUGACGGGUGCUGAGGUUAGCCUAGCAUCUCGGGUUCCGAGGUGUGCACGUCGGAGCGUCCCGAGCUUAAGGGUCAGGGCGUAUUAUUGGAGAGGGUACCCCGAGCUCGAUCGAGGCGAGUCGACGAAUACAGGAGGCGCCCCGAGCUUGGUCGGGCGAGUCAGCGAUCGUGGAAGGCGCCCCAAACUUGGUCGGGCGGGUUGGCGAAUACAAGAAGCGCCCCAAACUUGGUCGGGCGGGUUGGCGAAUAAAGUAGGCGCCCCGAGCUUGGUCGGGCGAGUCGACGAAUAAAGUAGGCGCCCCGAGCUUGGUCGGGCGAGUCGGCGAAUAAAGUAGGCGCCCCGAGCUUGGUCGGGCGAGUCGGCGAAUAAAGUAGGCGUCCCGAGCUUGGUCGGGCGAGUCGGCAAAUAUCUGAGGUCGAAGGAGUUUUCGAAGGAGUUCGAGGCCGGGUUGGUUCUAGGUCGGACUGGAGUUCCGUCUGGCUGGCGUUGGUAUCUAUUGGGCCGAAAUUGGGUGGUGGGCAGGACGAUCUAUUUCGCCCCCCAUCAAAAGGAUUCUAGGUUAUAGCUCUUUAAUCUCUCAGCUGUAUGAACCUAGAUUGUUUCCAUACACUUUCAUCAUAUUAUCAGUAUUUUAGAUGAACAUAAUCCUGCUUGAGUAACUCAAACUAAUUUAUCACAAUAGCCACAUUUCUUGGCACCUUUUUUCCUGCUACUGAAUUUUCGAAAUGUCUUCCUUAUUCAUGUAACAGUUGAUUAGCCACCUGUUAAUCUCCCUAUGAUGUAUUACAAAAUUCAAUAUUUUUUUUUUUUAACUAUAUGCCAAUAUCCCAACACAAUNNNNNNNNNNNNNNNNNNNNNNNNNNNNNNNNNNNNNNNNNNNNNNNNNNNNNNAAUACAACUCAUAUAGCACAGAUAUGUUCUCAAAGGAGAAUUGGUAGUUACUCUUUCAUGCCUUCUUGACUUCCAGUCAUACCUAUACAAAAUAACCAAUUACAAAUAAACGAGUACUUGCCGGAUAACACCGUUCCUAUCUAGAUGUAUCAUUCCAUUUGGAAGCCAAUAAUUCAAGUGGUUGGCACCUCCAUAUUGGCAACAAAAUUAAAAUUUUGAACUGUCACCUUUCAUCUCUAAGCUCAGCUAUCCUCCUUGCAGCUUGAUCCUAGUUUUUAACCACCAACAAGGGGAAGAAAUAGUUUAAACAAAUUAUGCUGCCGCCCAGUAUUCCAUUUCCAUAGUAGUCAUCCAUAUCAAAGAAAGAAAUAUUCUACUGCCCCUUGAUUUAAUCACUGAAAGAAAGAAAUAUUCCAUACUAGUCAUCCAUAUCAAGAAAGAAAUAUUUCCAUCUGCCUUGAUUUAAUCAUUGAACAAACAUUUAUAAAAUGCACAAAAUUUUUCAUUGAUCAAAACCCCCCCAAGUAGUUUCAGCAAAAGAGAAACCACUCCUCCCACCAAGCAACCAACUACACAUAAAAUUAAUUAAUUAAUUAAAAUAAACCAAUAAAAAAGUUUGCCUCUUGGAAGCCAACUCUCCACGUGGAGCCAACUAUGUACACUAGAUAAAAAAAGUUUUGCCGCUUGGAAGCCAAGAACUCUGCCUCGGGCGAGGCGGGUCACAACUCAGCCGUCGGCGAGCAGUUCCCUGAGCGCCCGGGCCGACUCGGACCGGUCCCGGCCAGCGACGAAGGGGUGGCCGAGGAGCUCAGCCACCGACCACCGCUUCCCGGACUCCUUCUGGAGGCAGCACCCAAUGAACCCCCGGAACUCCUCCGACGCUUUCCCCUCCGGCGGCGGCGCCGGUGGCUCCCCGAAGCAGAUCGCGCACAUCAGCGCCGCCCAGUCCGGCCGCUGCCCCGCCGGAAGUAGCGGGAAGUGCCCCAGAUACAGCUCCAGCACCGCCAAUCCCAGGCUCCACACAUCCGCCGCGUAGGGGUCGUAGUCCCCCCCGUAUGACUCCGGAUCGAAACGCUCCGGGCUCAUAUACGCGCACGUCCCCACGUAGGACAUGCACGGGUCCAGCGACCGUCGGAGGAUCUUGCCCACCCCGAAGUCGGCGAUCUUGAUGUCGCCGGAGCGGUUCACGAGGAGGUUGGAGGGCUUGAGGUCGCGGUGGACGAUCUGGUGGGAGUGGAGGUAGGCGAGGCCGUGGAGCGCCUGGCGGGCGAUCUCGGCUAGGGCGAGCUCGGGGAAGGGGCGGUUCCCGCGGCGGCGGAGGAGGGAAUCGAGGGAGCCGGCGUCCAUGUGCUCGAGGAGGACGGCCACGUCGCCGGAGGGGGUGGGAAGGACACCGUGGCAGCGGACGACGAAGGGGGAGUCGGUGCGCCGGAGGAUCUCGACCUCGCGGGAGACCUGGCGGCGGAGGGAGGCGUCGGCGUCGGUGUGGAGGACCUUCAGGGCGUACGCCGCCGCCGUUCGGCGGUGGCGGACCUUGUAGACGGUGCCGCCGUUGCCGUGGCCAAGCACCUGCAUCUUCUCGAAGUCGGAGAGGCGGUGCUCGGAGGUGGAGGUGGAUGCGGCGGCCGCUGGGGGAGGGGGGAGGGGGAAACGGAGGCGGCAGUCGCUGGCGGCGGAGGCGGAGUCCGGGAGGGGGAGCUCGAGGGUCAGGUUAACCCUUCUCUGUCGAACAACGGCCAUAAGAGAUUUAGGGCCAGGACCAGGGUAGGUUGUGGAUUGGAUUUGGGGCGAUCGGAAAAGGGAGGAAGGUGGGAGGUUAUAUAUAUAAAGGCUCGUUUAGGGAUGGUGGGCUUCAGAGUGGAUCGGAUGAGUGCAGUUAUAGUCACCUCCAGUGAGAAUAAGCAUGAUAGUUGAUGAACUCUCUUCGUUUCUUGAUUCUAGAGUUGUGACGUGGAGGAGAAGAUGGGUGGAGUGAGGGUGGGCGAGGAGGUAAGCGGAAUCGAGGGCGAGAAACGUGGUGAGGUUGGGAUGGGGACGGCGAUAGGAAGCGGGGGAGAAAGAGAGAGGAGGACUUUACCAAAAAAAAAAGAAAAAAAAAAAGAAGAGCGGAGGAUUAAAAAAAGAGACAUAUUGAUGGGACUUGCAAGGGAACUAUAGAGUUUGACACGAGGAGUGACCCUAAUUAGGUGGUGGAUGGAUGAGUGGUGGUCAAAUUAUUUGGGUUCGUACUUUGGUGUUUCUAGGAUUGAAGAGAGAUUUUGGAGGAUAGCCCAAUGAUUAUGGAAGUUAGAAUCAAAUGAUAACUUUUUUUUUGUGAUCCAUGUGGACAAGAUAGUACAAAGCACUUUUUUAAUAUGCCAAACGAGUCCCCUGUAUUUGGGGGUGGGAGGAUUGUUUUUAAAAUCUGGACAAAAUAUUCUAGAGAUUUUUCCUACAAAAUAAUUAUAUAUAUAAACAAAAACAAAAAAAAAUAUAAAUACUAGGGAUAAAGCAAUACUUUGAUAUAUAUAUAUAUAUAUAUAUAUAUAUNNNNNNNNNNNNNNNNNNNNUAUAUAUAUAUAUAUAUAUAUAUAUAUAUAUAUAAGAUGAUUCAAGUGCUUUCGUAACAAAAUUAUUGGAACAGUUUUUGGUUUUAAUUUGUUAUCCAUGGCUUUCUCCUUAAUUUUAUCUUGGCUAAUUGUAAUGCAUGUCAACGGCACAAGAUUUUAUAUCUAGAAUAAUUUAAGUAAAGUUCUGACUUCAAAAAUAUAUAAUAAAAUUAUCACCAAAAAUAAAGAUAUGAUAAAAGUUAAGGAUUAACUAAUAAUUAAUUUUUCUAAUAGAUCAUGUCUCACUUUCAUUCUUUAGUUUAGAAAUAUGAUUUUCUUUCUUUAAAGUUCUUAGAAUUUCGUAUUUCGUAGUUUUUGAUAGAGAAAGGAGGGGGGGGGGGGGAGGUAGAGGCCACUUUUGGUAGAGAAGGCAACAAAAUAUUACGUGCCUAGCGACGCAAGGUGGGCCUUUUGGUUGGGACGCACGUACGCAUUUCGGCACGUUUCUAUCCAAAAGGGAGUCGUUAGGGAAUAAAGAAUAAAAACUCCUUCCAUUCCGACACGUGCUGGAAGGAAGCAUUGGAGCGCAGCCUUUCCGCCCCGGUUGCUUCCACCGCUUUUCCUCGGCCCCUCACGUGUGCCUUUUAGCUUCGGCUCCAGCAGCAGCGAUAUGCUCACCUUCCAAUCACCUUCGCCUCGGCUUCAAUCUUUUGAAAAAUUGCAUGAAAUUUUGGAAGGAUCCUAAGAAAACAAAAGGCCAUAGCAAGAGUUUCCAAGACCUCCUGCUAUGUUACAUGGAUCAUGAAAUGACAAUUAUUUGAUCCAUGUAAUGAGAAAACAUGUGUUAUUCGACAUUUAUAGUGCGUGAAAUUUUAAAUCUUCAUCCUAAUCAGAAAAAUAAUUUUAUUAUCAUCAAUGUUACAUGGAUCAUGAAACAUGCAAAUGAUAAUUAUUACAAGGCUUAUCCAAAGAAGGUAAAGUCGUGAAAUUUUAGAUCUUUGUGCUAGUUAAAAAAAUAAUUUUACUAUUGUCAAUCUUAAUUGUUAAUUACCUUUUUUUCUUACAACAAAACUAAUUAUAUUGUUCAAAAAAAUAAUAAUAAUUAUUAUAAGUUAAAUAUAUUCCUAAUUUUUUUUUUGAACAAUAUGAGAUAGGCUUUCUACCAAAUAUCUUUAAGCCUUCAAACAUCGGCUAAGACGAGUUAUCUUCUCAUAUCUAAAAAAAAUUAUUUACUUAUUUUCAAAAAUUAAUAUUUUAAGUUAUUCUUUAAUUUAGGGAUAGAGCUAUUUUUAUCUCGUGGGAGCCUUGCAUUCCUAGCACUAGGCCUUGGUGUCAGCUUACAUGCGGUGCCCUAGCCGGGAGCUGGUGGCUUCAAGCAUGAUAUGGACCUUUCAAGGGGCUGAGACCCACCAUGGUACGGUCUUCAAUUUUUUUUUUCCGAGCCUUUAGAUUUGCUCGGACGAGGAAAUAUAUAAAUAUAUUCUUUAUAUAUUUAUUGUUUCUGUGUUGUAACUGAUGAGGUGUCAGGUAAUAAUUUAAAUAAAAAUGGGCAUGUGAUCGAUAAGGCUACGCCACCGGAUGCCAGCGACAGGGUAUGGUUGACUUGGAGUAUAUAUCACAACAAGAUAAGUCCUUUAAGUGGAUGGCUUACACUAAAAAUGGAAUGAUGAUGUUAAAUUUAUAGGACAUAGUCUUCGCGUUAUAUCUCCAGACCGUCGUUUAGGUCUGUCAUAACGUAGAAGCUAGAGUUUCCAUAGGAGCCAUGCGAGGUAGCAUGCAUGGUUUUAAAAUUUAUUUCGGGUUUGGACAUUAUUGAUCAAAUCUAGAAAGUAUGUCAUAAUGUUUAGUUAAAUUUAAAUAAAUUAUAUAUAUAUAUAUAUAUGGAUGUUAAAAUCAUAAGAUUGAUUAGAUCCAUUGAUUGAUUGAUUAUGUCAAACUUAGUCGAUCUUAUCAAAUUUCAUCUUGAUUGAUUUGUAAUUAAUUGUGCCAAAUUUCGUCAGCUUUCUACUCUAUAUAAAAGUUGCUCUUGUAUAUUAUAAUUGAUAGCCAGAAAUAUAAAUUCUUUUUUUCUAAUUCUUCAAUUUCAAUAAUAGGCAUGAAAGCUUUUUUUUUUUAUCGUAAAGAACUGGAUCUAUGCCUAUGUAUUCAAAACAGUAUCAGUUUUUUUAUUUAAUGCUUCACUAGAUUUCAGCUGGUUAAUUUAUAUAUUUAUUUUUUCUUAAAAAUAUCUAUUCGGUUACUUAAUUCUAUCUUGAUUUGAAAGAGUAUUAUUAAUAUCUUCUUUAACACUGGUAAACAUGACAUUUUUAUGAUUUAUGAACCAAGAGAGUGAGGUAAAGAUUUAAAACUUUACAAGACUUUCAUGUCAUAUCAUACAUUAGUUGAAGGAUGCUGCAUGAAGUCACUUGGAUGUGACUCGAGCACGAAAAUCCGCUCCCAUGCUUUGCAAGAUUUCAAAUAAAAUAUGCUGCCAUCAAUGUAACAUGGCGGUUGAACUAAUAGGAGAGAAAUAAACACAGGAUUCAAAUAUCUUUUUGCUGGCAGUAAAAACUGUGCAAAAUCUAAGUCACACCCAACUGACGUCACUUGCUGGUUAAAAGUAACUAAGACUAAAUGCAUGAAUGUGGAAAGAAGUUGUACUAUAUAUUAACCGGGUAUACAUGUUUCAUUUGUUCAGAAAUUUAUGACAAAGUUCUAAUAUUCUAGGUGAAUGUUUGCCAUUUUUUAUUUCUUUUAUUAACUGUAACUAGUUUUAUUUUUUUUUCAAAAUGCUAAAAUUUGAAGCUUAUUUGAUAGCGAUUAUAGUGCAGAAGAUGACAAUGAUAGAUAAUGAUGGGUGGCGGCCAAUAAUUAAAAAAAAAGGGAUAGCGAUUCAAUAAUCUUACGGAGCAUUAUAUUUAAUUACCAUGCUUUAGUCCACUAUUCAUACAACCGAUCUAUAUCGAGAGCUAUGACUAUUCAAGACAUCAGUAUAAUUUCAUGCUAUCAUGCAGGUGAAUUAAUUAGAGUUAACUAGUAUUUUAAGAAAGAGGGGAGAGGAGGGAUGGCGGUUUAACAAGCUAUUGCAUCAUGUUUUNNNNNNNNNNNNNNNNNNNNNNNNNNNNNNNNNNNNNNNNNNNNNNNNNNNNNNNNNNNNNNNNNNNNNNNNNNNNNNNNNNNNNNNNNNNNNNNNNNNNNNNNNNNNNNNNNNNNNNNNNNNNNNNNNNNNNNNNNNNNNNNNNNNNNNNNNNNNNNNNNNNNNNNNNNNNNNNNNNNNNNNNNNNNNNNNNNNNNNNNNNNNNNNNNNNNNNNNNNNNNNNNNNNNNNNNNNNNNNNNNNNNNNNNNNNNNNNNNNNNNNNNNNNNNNNNNNNNNNNNNNNNNNNNNNNNNNNNNNNNNNNNNNNNNNNNNNNNNNNNNNNNNNNNNNNNNNNNNNNNNNNNNNNNNNNNNNNNNNNNNNNNNNNNNNNNNNNNNNNNNNNNNNNNNNNNNNNNNNNNNNNNNNNNNNNNNNNNNNNNNNNNNNNNNNNNNNNNNNNNNNNNNNNNNNNNNNNNNNNNNNNNNNNNNNNNNNNNNNNNNNNNNNNNNNNNNNNNNNNNNNNNNNNNNNNNNNNNNNNNNNNNNNNNNNNNNNNNNNNNNNNNNNNNNNNNNNNNNNNNNNNNNNNNNNNNNNNNNNNNNNNNNNNNNNNNNNNNNNNNNNNNNNNNNNNNNNNNNNNNNNNNNNNNNNNNNNNNNNNNNNNNNNNNNNNNNNNNNNNNNNNNNNNNNNNNNNNNNNNNNNNNNNNNNNNNNNNNNNNNNNNNNNNNNNNNNNNNNNNNNNNNNNNNNNNNNNNNNNNNNNNNNNNNNNNNNNNNNNNNNNNNNNNNNNNNNNNNNNNNNNNNNNNNNNNNNNNNNNNNNNNNNNNNNNNNNNNNNNNNNNNNNNNNNNNNNNNNNNNNNNNNNNNNNNNNNNNNNNNNNNNNNNNNNNNNNNNNNNNNNNNNNNNNNNNNNNNNNNNNNNNNNNNNNNNNNNNNNNNNNNNNNNNNNNNNNNNNNNNNNNNNNNNNNNNNNNNNNNNNNNNNNNNNNNNNNNNNNNNNNNNNNNNNNNNNNNNNNNNNNNNNNNNNNNNNNNNNNNNNNNCUAAGAGAGAGAGAGAGAGAGAAUUAGAUAAAUAUUGUUAAAAACUUGGCUUAAAGUUUAUACCAUUGAUGUGCCGGGUAAACCCAAAACUUUCUCUUGAGUCUAUUAUAUGUUUAAUGCUCUGUUGGAUUCUCUGCUUCAUGCCCUUGCGCCCAAGCUAAAAGAUACAUGCGGACACAAAAAUAUAAUUUCCUUGUUUGAUGAAUCUCCGAUUAUCUUCUCAACAGAAGGGUGGCGGCCUCGUCGUCAUUUGCUUAAUAAAGAACUUUUGAAUGCAUAAUUAAGCCGAAGCAAGUCAUUCGAAUUAUUGUAUAUAUAAUCAAUUCAUAUUGGCCCUGCUAGUUAGUAGUAGUUAGUUUUGAUUAUAUAUUCACAGAUACCAACUGCCUCAGCUAUUUAUAGAGAGAUUAACAUUGGCCAAAGUCAUUGUCCCUUUUUGCUGCCCAAUCUCCAUCAAACGCCAAAAGUAUGCAGCUCAAGUGGCCCUAAUUACACGCAUAAACGUAGGCCGAUGGGGCAAGCAUGAGAUUGUCCAUAUCCGAAGCCAAAAAGGCCACUUACCAUUUGAGGGCACAUUCAUGCAUCUGAUGUCCUUCCACCCACCCCUCUCUUUCCACAAUUUAUAACAUGUGGCUAUAUUUAGUUGCAAUGAUUGACGCAAGUGGGCCGUUAGCCUCCGGAAUCCGGCAUGAUUCAUGAUAUGGAUUUAAGCUGACGUCCCUUCCUUUUCCUGAGCGCCUCGCUGUUCCUGGUCCAGCCGCGGUUCAUUUGGUUUAGGAUUUGGGUCUGGUCUUAGUUUCCACUCUAAUUGAACCCUAUAGCAUGAACUUGUUUCCAGGUACGUACCGAGUCAUCUCAGAUUGGGUUCGUGUUUUUAUGUCCGGUUCAUUCCCGCUGUCAAUUCCAGUUGCUCAUCAGUUUGGAUUAGGCUCUCGUUAAAUCUGAACUUGGCCCCAAAGUAUGGAGUGCUGAGUUCGUCAACAGAGGGUCUAAAUCCGAUCAGGGCCACAUAGGUCAACUUGUCACAAUAACCAAGUUCUCGAUUUGCAAUAAAUGUUCGCAUAUGUGCAUUUACACAAGAAUAGCUAUCGUGAUGAUUUUUCAAAACUAUUUAUCUGAAAAAAUUAUGGUGUAUAGUAAAUUUUAUCAUAUUUAUUUGAUGGAUAAAUUACUCUAAAAAAUAACACCAAAACAAGAUUGUUAUAUUUGGUUGGAAGUAAUCAUAUAUGAAAAUAUGGUUAAAUUUUUGGAAUAUUUUUGAAUGAAAAAAAUUCAAGUAAGAUUUUUUUUUAUUCAUUCUAUUUUUUAGCCAUUUCAAAUAUUAAAAUAUAUCUACAUAAUUGAUAAAUAAUUUUAAAUUAAUUAUACAUAUAUUUAUUAUAGAUAAAUUUUAGUAUUUUAAUUUUAUUAAGUAAAUGUAUUUAAAUACAAUCACACCAUUAUUUGCUUAAUUUGGAAAAAAAAUCAUUAGAUAGAAAAUUAGAAAUUUGGAUUUAGUAUAAUUAUAUUUUGAGCUACCAUGUAUUAAAAGGAAGUUUCAAGUAUUUGUGGGUUCCAAUGAGAAUAGUGGAGAUAUUGUUGCCGAUCGAUUUUAGAUUACCUUCUCUAAGCAAUUGGGUGUGGAGAAAAAAUAUAUCAUCUUUUGGUGGUAUCUGUUUUAUUUUUUCUCUUAGUAAAAUAGGUAUGGAAUCUACUAUCCUCUUUUCAUACCAAAUAUGAUAAUAUGUCAUACACGGUAGGUAAUGCUUGUUUUGCGCUAUGUCUACUUUUAUAGAUAGCUAUGAACCAAACGCAUCCUAUUGUGAAGGGUCUGGCUCGGAGCAAGCUCUUGAAUGAGAGUGAGAAUGAGUGAGAGAGAGAGAUGUUGAUGGGAUGGGGGCUACUUGAUUGGUUGGUUUAGGUCCUGUUUGGGGGCGCUGUUAGUAGUAGAGCUUUUGGAAGUAGAGCUGUUGGAAGUAGAGCUGUCUGAAGCAGAACGUUUAUAAAAAGCUGUUUGCUGUUUAGUAACUAUAUUUCUAAAGUACUGUGGCACUUUAACAUGUGUUUGGUAAACAAACUGAGAAAGUAUUUUUGUGUGACAAAAUAAACAUAAAGGACAUUACCAAUAUUAUACAACGGAGUAUAAUAAAAUAUAAUAUGUAUUAAUACAUAAAUAUAUGAUAUAGUAUAAUAUUAAUGUAAUGUAAUAUAAUAUUAUUAUAAUAUAGUAUUAUAACAUUAUGUAUUAUAGAAUAAUAAUUUAAUAUAAUAUUAAAUUAUUUAACAUAGCAUAUCAAUGUAUUAUGAAAUAAUGUAAUAUAAUAUCAUAUUUAUAGUAUAAUACAAUAAUAAAUAUAUAAAAUAUUAUAAUUAUUAGUGUAAAUUAAUUUUUCAUCCUUCUAAUGACCAUUUAUCUCUCUAACAAAUUUUCUAGCUAGGUGAUAAAAUUGGUUAAAUAAUUACUAAUAUUUUUAUUUAUUUAUUUAUUUAUUUAGAUCAGAUUAUUUGCCACUCACUCAUUAUUUUUCUUUUUAUUUAUUUAUUUAUUUAUUUAUUAUUUUAUUAUUUUAUUUUAUUGAAAUAUAGAGGGGUCGCCGGCCAUGGGUGGUGGCCGACAUGGUGGCUGCCACCGUGGGCAGCCACGAGCUCCCAAAACAAAAAAAAAAGAGAAAGAAGGAAUAGAGGCGGCGGCGUUGAGAGGAAGAAGAAGAUAGAGAGGGAGAGGGAGUGGAUGGGCGCGAGAGGAAGAGGCGGAAUGAGAGUUUUUGGGGGAAAAAGUGAGAUUUAAAUGGGGUAUCUUGGUCCAAAAAAUAGCUUUCCGACAAAGCUGAAAACAGUGUUUCCGGAAAGCUCCAAAUUAGAGCUUUUCCCCAAAAGCUAUUUUCAGCUUCCCGCAAAAGUUGAAAAAGCUUUCCAAAAAUUUUACCAAACACUAUUUUUUUUAUCUAAAAGUACUUUUGGAGGGCCAGAAAGUACUUUUUGGCCCUCCAAAAGCUCCUUCAAACAAGACCUUAAUUAGGUUGGAAAGAGGCCCAAAUAUUAUUUGGUUGCACGAAGUUUGCAGCGAACAGUACGCAUUUCUCUCCUUGACAAGAAAUUUAAGAUACCCAUCAAGUUGGUCCAGAAAUUGGACCAUGCAAGCAAGGAACUAAUUGGAUCAGGAUACAUGGGACCUAAUUGCAGUGCCAGCCCAUUACACUCUCUCUGCCAUCAAUACGAAAGAUGGGGAUGCUUUAGUUACAUGUGAGGGUAAUGCCACUUUAUAUAUGCUUUGGAUUGUUCCAAGCGUACCGCAACAGCAGCCAUUCCAAGGUGCAUGAGGUUAUACGCGGGGACUCAGAACUCUCAUACUCAAAAUAUACGAAUCAAUCCACGGAAACAAGAUUGAGUGGUUCAGCGAGAUCCCAUUGCAUGGAGCCAUAGCUACGAUGUUGAUCCACAAUAGCACUGAUAUCUAUGGAUUAGGCUCCAUUUUUCUCAUCCUUCGUCUCCUUUUUAAAAAGAUGGAUGCCUUCAACUUCUGAAUACCAAUAAAACGCACACUGAGGAUGCGCUAUAACAUCAAGGUAGUUUUCACUCUUUGAGCAGUAGCUGCGAUUAGAUGCUUCAAGUUUUGUGCGGUGACUGUGUCAUUCCAGCGAAUAGUAAGGCCGGCACAACCAUGGGUGAUCGGAGCUCCAGUCAGGUGAGAGGGUCUUCCAGUAGCGACGACCGUCCUCAGCCAAGGAGGACUGAGGCUAGCACGACAUGGACGAACAUGGUGCAGGGAUCAUUAGGUAACCUCAGUGGACCAACCACAAGAUCUUUUAGGAGGAGCUCGACAAUCUUCAACGCUACUUCACAAGGGUCUUAGAGUUGCCCAAGAAAAAAGUGGAGACGUUGAGGCAAGCAUGGGAGUCAAUAGCAUUGAUUGCUCGAAGUCUUGGCUGGCGGGUAUCGGCUGAUGGGUGGCUCAAGAUAUCAAGGCCAGGGGAAAAUUGGACUAUGAGGUGAAGGUUUUUCCCAUGGCCUAGGACAACAUUACUCUGCGAUUCAGGUGCGACGGAGUGAUGGAUGCGGCAAUCGUUGACGGUAUGUGGCUGGUGGCUGAGAAGCUCCUCGCGAUGAAGCCAUGGGUGCCAGAUUUUGGAUUCGCCUUCCGAGCCUCCCCUGGAAUACUGGGAGAAGGACUCCAUUCUCGACAUUGUGGUGGUAGCUGUUGGCACUGGAUAGGUUCACGGACCGGCUGUGGAAGCUGGAAUAAUCCCAAAUUAAGUUGGAAAUUGACUCUUCAGAGCCCGUGAUGCUAGGGAUUUUCAUCCGAGGGCACUCUAGGACCUUCUGGCAAUCCUUUGUUUACGAAAACAUACCCGAAUUCUGUUUUCUCCGUGAAAGAAUUGGCUACCGAGAUAGAGAUUGCAAAUCCCCCAUACCACUGUCGAGGAUGAUGGAGGGUGAGUUGCGAAGGAAGCGUCCAAUGCCGAUGAUGGUGGAAACUGGCCGAGAGCCCUUGAACCUGGUGGACGCUGAACAACCUGCAUCGAAUCGUCGGCCGGUGUUCGGGCCUUGGCUUGCCACAGCAAGGAUCCGAUGGCCUAGGGUUUCCAAAGCCGGUGUAAGUUUGAAGAAGGCAGCCACUCCUACCCCGGAGUCAACUUCCAGCAUGGGCUCAUCUCAAUUGGGGCGAGUUUCCCUCAGAACCGGCCAAGCUCACCGGGGUCCCUGUCGGACUUCAGCGGCUAGCGAAAGCGGCAAAGGUGGCACGGCGACGAUCACCGGAGAAGACCUACAUUGUUGAUGACCUGUAGCGGAUCGGUGGGGAGGCUGGUAAACCCGGUCCCAGGUUGGAACCCAACUCGAAGAAGCAGAAGGCAAUGAUGGAGGCCUAGUGGGCCUCGACAGUGAUAGUGGGCCUUUGGACCUAGUUAUGAUGGAGGUUGGGUCGGGCUUGAGACAGACCUGGAUGCUAGCUAGUGUUGAUGGGAGGUUCUGGCAAUCUCCGACUCCCAUCACUACCUUUCUGAAUUACUUGGAAGAAAUUAUGAGGAUUUCUGCUUUGGGGUCGUGGGUGGUGAGGGAUGCUUAUGUUGCCUACCAAAUUUGGUUGGACAGGAUGCUCAGGUCUUCGAGAAUAAGAGGCAAUACUCAAGGCUCAUGGUCGAUAGAGCCUUACUUUAGGUGGCUGAGUUCUCUCAGUCAUCUUUUCUUGGAGAUGCCAUGAUUGCGAGGGACAUCUGGGACACUUGUUUAGUUCCUACAGCGACCUAGGCAGUAUUCAUCCAAUAGCAGCCUUUCUUAAGGUUAAUUUUGACGACAAUAUAUUUGAGGACGGUAGCAGAGUUGGAGCCAGAUUUGUGAUUAGAGGUCUGAAUUCUUGAUUGUUUGCGACUAGAGGUAGCUGCAUUUUUUGUCACUAUUUCUAGUACGGAGUUGAGGGCAGCCUGAGAGGGUCUUAACAAUGCUAGGCUCACCCUAAGAGCAGAUCACAUUCAGAUUGAAGGCAACUCAGUUGUGGUGAUUCAAUGGAUCCAAGAUUAUUGCAGGGAGGCACUCACUGCUGCAGGACAUCCUUAAGAUGACUAGGGAUUAUAGUGCUUUCAAGCUUCCCAUAUCUACAGAAAGACGAACGGAGCAGUAGAUUUGAUUGCCUCUUUAAUUGCUCGGCAUUAGGGUGGCACUCUUUAGCAUAGCCAUGAAACUAUACCUUUUUAAAAUUCUCUUUUACUUUUUGAUCUUAUGGGAUGUAUUCAUACUAGAUAUAUAUGAUCUUUCCGACUUAUCAAAAAAAUAAAAAAUAAAGAGCACACAAAUUCGAAACAUAUGUUCUUUAAUUAAAGUAAGAUAAUAAGAUAUGAAAUUUUCGUUUUCAUUAAAAUUUAACAAUCAAAUGAUGUCUUAAAACCAAAAAAUGACCCGGGUCAACAUGGCUUAUAUACUACUCCGGGCUUAUGAGUCGAGUUAGUUCAUAGUUAGGCUAGCUGCGUUUUGUAGCACGCGUACUCUUCUGUGGAGUCACACGGAACGAGCCUUGUCUUUUGCACGCGUUGCACAACAUGGUAUGGUGUUUGUCAAUGUUUAAUUUAAGGGGCCAAUUCAUGCAGUUUGUAAGGUUAUUGAAGAGUCCCAAUAACUUGAGUGACUCCCGCCCUCACCUGAUUUAGGCCAAGUUUCCUCUGUCCUCGUUGUCAUAAAGAAAAAACAAUUAUAUACAAUUAUGUUCAUUCAAGGAAAAAAUUUCAAGAAGUAAACAAUAGUUCUAUGCAGUAUGAAAAAAAAGAAGAUGUAGUUAAUUGUUCAAUUUCUUUUGACUAUAAGAUGCUUUUGAUUUCAAAAUUUAGACAACUCUUGAUGUCACUUCUGGAAUAGGAAAAGUUAUAUUUUUUUGAGUCUACGGUAUGCUAGCAUUUUGAUUGAUCUUUGAGCCCAUAAAAGUUAGUAGAGUUUAGUAACAAAUCCAUUUCAUUAAGAUGCUAUUUCGAACGGCAAAAUUAUCCAUUUAGAAUUCUCUAGCAAAAUAAUCUGAAAUAUUUACAAGAUCAUCCAUGUAAAGAUGUCGCAAACAUCGCAAUAGAUACUCAAUGUAAUCAGAACACAAAAAAGAUAUUCAAACUAAUUAUAUCAUUUUUAUAUCAUCUGUUGCUGGUGCACUUCAGAUUCUAGGUCUCAAAAGAAAAAUAAAAGGUUUAGAUAGUCAGAAGGCUAAAAGUAAUUCAAAGUUCAGAGAGUGACCUGUACAAAAUUUUAACUUAACUAUAGGUAUAAUGCACGAAACUGAGCUUCCACCAAAAGUAGAGGAAGGGAGACGAGGUCUUUGGACAUUUUUGCCUAACUUGCUGCAAUGUUGUGCAAUUAUUGUUCCCCUUCUAUCAACACGAACGGUUAUGAUGUUCAAUAACAUUCUCUCGGGAGAAUUCUUCUUCUAAUAUAACUAAUAAAUGGCGUUAGAACUUACAAUUUACUCCGCAUCGGACCACACGACGCCAGAUUGAUUCAAGUUAUCCUGGUCACAAAGCCAACUUUGCUUUUUCGGACGCCACCUGAUGAGCGACAUCGUCAAGCAUAAUAUAUGGAUUAUCGCUCGUGAAAGUUCUAAUGGCGGGCGUGUGUCUAGUCCCACAUCGAUUAUCUGCUAGGUAGAUUUUGGGUACUUAUACAGGAUUAAGGAACCCAAAUAACAUCUUCCAGCUAGCCACUUUGGAUGAGAUCCUAGGUUGUUUCAAAUAGUAUAAGACAUUAUUUGGCCCAUAAUGUAUGUGGAUUAUGGGAUACUAUAGCACGGUUUCAUUAGGGCUGAUCACAAUUCGAUUGUGGUGCUUGUGAUUAAAUUUAAAUGGAUUUGAAUCUUUACCCCUAAAAUGGGAAGAGUAUGUGAGGAUCCGUGCGGACGUAUGCUUAGUUCUACAUUGGUUAUCCGCCGGGUCCGAUGAAUGACCGAAACCACCUGUCUCCUCUUCAGCAAAAUUUUCACUAGUGUUUUGCUCGUGGGAUCAUGGGCAGGGUAAAAUGCGCAUGGGUUUUUAUCUGGAUCCUGGACCCAUGGGCCACAACAAGCUAUUGAGUGUAUAUUAUUAUAUUAAUUAUGACUUCUUAUCUCUGUGAUGACUAUUCCAAAUUUUUUCCCCUCUUCAAUGACUUCACAUACAAACUUAAUCAACCCAUGGCCAUUCUCCUAGUUCACUUCAGGCUCUUCAAUGAUCCAGGUUAUUGAUUCUAAUCACCCGACAGAUGAAUCUUUAUGAAAUUAAGGAUCAAUCAAACAACCGCACACGAGAGAUUUCAACCAAUUACACCCAACGAACAAGAAGAAAAGAGAUCAGAAUCACAGCACGGUAGACUUCAAAAUUUCUAAACUUGCUAUGCAACUUCAAAUCCUUUGGAUGCCAAUUACCAACCUUGCACAACCCCCGGCAACAGUUUCCAACAACCCAAAGUCAUUCAAAAUCACAAAGAAAGCACUUCCUGUAUUAUUAUUAUAGCCCCAUCAUCUAAUUAAUAUCUACAUCAUGUCUAAAAUAGAGACAGGAGUACUAAGUUUGAAGUUUGAACCACAGCUGAUACAAGUCUAUAUGUUAUAAGAGCUAGCUAUACUACUGCAAUAAAAAUAGAAGGAGAGCAAUAGUACUCGAGGAGGACUGGCUCAAGGGCUGAGAUUACACUGACGGAAGUGCUUUUGUGCGGUGCGGUUCUGGAUGAUCCCAUAAUCUCCUCCUUCAACUCCAUGCUCUUCUUCCAAAUCAGGUUGCUGUGGAAAGCAUAGAAGCAGGCAGCCCAAGAGGCUCCUCAACAAGGGAGAACCAAGGCAUAUAGCAUCAAUCCACUCCACCUGUUGAUCAGCCCCUUUAGACAUAAUCCCUGCAGAUGUGUUUGCAAGAGAAACUUCUCAAGAAAAAUGACUCUCUGCUGCCUAUAUGAGAACGAAAGGAAGCAAAGACAUAAAAGAUCAAAGUCUAUUGCUUUGGUACUCCAUUUUCUUCAUUGCUUGGUCUCUCUCCUCCUACUUUACCAAAUUAAUAUGGAAUCUAUAAAGUGGAAUCGUGCGGAGGAGCAUUAAGUCUUGCACGCGCAUCUUGGGUAAGACUCUCUCUCUCUCUCUCUCUUUUUUGCGCCUUGGCUCUUGGGUAAGACUUUAGCACGCGCUUUUGGAGAGUCCCUU
rnacentral:lncRNA from 1 species